rnacentral:lncRNA from 1 species
AGCUGAGGGCUCUCCCACCACAGCUUGGACAGCAGGCCACCAACUUGAAGGACCUCCUUAUAAGAGAAGCAGAAUGCUUGAAGACGGUGGAAGACCUCCCGUUCCUCUCUGGUGCCCUUUCAAUUGGUGGCUGUGAAGGCCUGGAGAGGGUCUCCAACCUUCCCCAAGUGAGAGAGCUGUUUCUAAAUGUCUGCCCCAAUUUGAGGCAUGUCGAGGAGUUGGGUGGUUUGGAGCAGCUAUUGCUGGAUGAAGGUAUGCAGGAGAUCUCUCAGCUGUGGGUCCCAAGGCUUCAGGAGCAACACCGCCAACUCCAUGGAGAUGAGCAUGAGCUGGAGGUCAUCGAGUGGCUGUGAGACCCAAUUAAUUUAGAUGGCGCAAGGUAUGUACACUAAUUGCUUGGGACAUUUCACUGGAAUAAACUAAUCAUUGGGUUGUACAUUCAUGCUGCCCCUCUGCUCUUCAGCUGUAUAUAUGCAGCUAUUCUAGCAUUUGAUAGUCUCCUUAGUUGUUCAUGUCGUGUGCAUUGACUGAUUGUUUAAUGAUUUAUAUGAUUUAGUUUUAUUUUCAUUUAUGCUGCAUGUAAGCAUUUCAUCAUGGUCAAGAUUUUCAUAAAAUGGUGGAUAUACAUUGACAAAUUCAUUAGUUGUCCAUUUCUUUAAUCCUCUCGUGAUCUUAUUAACAUGCGUCCUGUACAUACGGUGUAUUCUAGAUAAAUGAAUUGUCCUAUAUGUACUACAACAUAAUCAUGUGCAAUAGUGUUCCUAGCUCUGCAGACAAAGAUAGAGAUUACUUCUACUCCAAAAGAAAAUUGUAUGGGUUAUAUCACCAAACAAUGCUAUGAUGGCAUUGCUAUAUUCACUAUAUGAUAGUAGUAAUAUCACAAAUGCAUAUAUCCAUCCAAGGACUUGGGGACAACAUAAAUGGUUUAGCAUUUGGUACACAGGCUGCAUAAGUGCACGACUAAACAUAAUGGACUUCGCUAGGCCAAGAGAUAAGUAAUCCUUAAUUCAGCUCUUGAAUGUGCUAGCUAUGAUUGGCCGUGUACAUCCUUCGGGAUGUAGAGGCCGGGUUUUAUUUAAUCCAUUAUUUAAAAAUGCGCUAUCUAUGACGAAGACCAGAUCACGUGCAUUUAGCCUUCAAGUCUGCAAGUGUGUUCUAUGUCAUAUCAAUGUGCACAUUUAGUACUCAGUAUCUUAUAAAAACACAAAUACACAUGAAUUUUCGCAAGACAUUAGGCAAUAGAGUAGUUUUUUUAGAUUUCACAAAAAAUAGGUCAGGCCCAAUGUUACAGAUUCCUUGCAGCCUGUGAGCAGGAUAUUGAAGAUGGAAGGGUUGUGCCCAACAUCUGUUCCUAGUGUAGGGCUCCUAAUUAAGGUUUGUUUGGUGAAAAAACAAAAGCCACCUAAAUGUCUUUGUAUUGGUUCAAAUUGAUUAAUAUUUUUGUUCGUAUUACAUCUGUUAUAAGCAGAGGAUAUUGCCGAGCGACAUGCCUAUGUAUAGUCCCUAUGUGUCUUUUCCUUAUACUUUUUGUAAUUCACGUAUGAUGUUUGGUAAGUUCAAUUGUAGAAAAUAGAUUGUUGCAAAACGGAUGUCACUUGUAUUUUCUUUUCCUUAAUUAAGUUAUUUAAUUACCAAAUUGCUUAUGAAUAUACAUCCAUGAUUAAUUUUUGUGCGCUUAUUUGUGUUGUAGGUUAAUCUUGAAGAAUUUGGGCUGCAGUCACCUGUAAUCUGUACUUUUGUCUUUACCUAGCUACUGGUCUUUGAAAUAUAUUAAAAAAAUUAAAAAAACAAAAAUAUCAAAAAAUGGGAAAAUGUCAAAAAAAAGGUUAUAUUUUCUUUAGCUCUUGUAAAAUACAUCGUCAUGUUUUCUUAGAUGUGUGCGUUUCUUUUCUUUUUAUUUUUUUUAUUGUAGGUGUGUAGGUAACUCCGCCUAUGUCAUCUUAGGUUUAUCUGAAUGACAUAGCCGGUCCCAAGCCCGGAAAAAGGAGGAGGGGAUAAUCUUGUAUAGAUGUUGGUUGAAAUGACGCUCUCCUACUAUAUAGUAGAUCAUUGGGAUUUUUCCGUACUUUUAUCAGAUUAAUUUCAUUUUCAAUGAUGGAAUAGUUAUGGAGACACUUCUAGAGACUCAUCCAGUCUUAUUUUCAAUGACGGAAUAGUCUACUGCUACCAGGUCUUUGAAAGUUUUCUUGAAACUGCACCUUUGUCAGGCUACUGCAUUUUUUUUGUGAUGGAAUAAUUAUGAAAACACUUUCAGAGGCACAUACACUCUGUUUCUCUGUUGGACGAACCUGAGUUGGAAACCAGUUUAGUUUGAGCUCAUUUCAACCCCUUCUUUCACCAGAAGCAAUUGGGCUAAACCCAAGCACCAAUCAUUCUCCUGUCAGUCCUUAAUGACAAGCCUGCAGGACAAGGAAAUCAAUGAAGAUCACUGAGGCAAAAAUAUAUUUAUCCUCCCAUCAUGAUAGAAACUGAUUGUGCUUUGUGAAUUGUGAUCGAGAGGAGAGGAAAUGGUGGAUAACCUUCCUAGUCAUUCCUUUGUACUGACAAUGUUUCAGUACUUGAGGAAAUCUCAGUGAUGAUACCUCGUAUUGACAAUCAAUACCUGUGUUAAUAGAUGGAUACAACACAUCUUUGACUGAAAUUUGCAUCGGCAAUGAUUGUGUCCAAGGCUCUUUCUCCACCAGCUGCUGCUUAUGUGGGAUGGAACCCAUGUAUAACUUGAGGAAGAGAAGUAAAUCCAACUUUUGUUUAUUUCAUUGAAUUCAUCCUUUUUCCUUUUGAACACUGAAAAUAACAGCUUGUAUGUCUUUAGGAUUGGUUCAGGAAAAUGUUAUUAUGACAGUGCACUAGCUUUUCACCUUGUUAUCCCAUUACAUUGUUAAAUUAACCAUGGUUUUAUUGCCUUCGUAUUUUCUGGACGGGGAUGCAAACCAGUGUCUUCUUGGAUACUUGCAUCUUCCUAAUGUUCCGUGUAAGCUGAUUUCCUUAUUUUGCAUAGUGUAAUGUGUUCUACUAGCAACGAUAGGGUUUGAGAUAUUCGGUUUUGACAUUUCAUUUGAUGGCAUUUGAUCAUUAUGUUCAAAGAUGCUCACUACUGAUGCUGUAGAGCUCACUCCCCCAAAUCUGCAACCUUCUCAUGGACUCUGAAAUUAGAAUCGAGGUUUGUGUUCAUUCAUGUACACAAUUGAGCUAUUCAGUUUGAAUUUUCAUCUGAAUCAUUCUGUGUUCAUCUACAACGGACAAAUUAUUCUUAUCGUGACUGAUCAACGCAGCACAAAGCAAAGCACAGCUAUAGCGCAUCCAGCGAUGAGAAGAAAAAGGGGGAGGAAAACGAGGGGUCCUGUACCUCGGUUGUGCUCGAGGUUCUCCGGCGCCGGCGACGUGGGACUCGGCGGCGAUUUACCUCGUCGGAGCGCUCGCUCGCUUGCCGUCGUCGCAUCAACGGCAAUAUAAACAUAUAAUGUCUCCCUGACUCGUGGGGCCACUUGAGGGCAAGAACGCAAGAACGACGCGUGUCUCUCCUGCUUGAGAACUAACCGGCAGCCGCUCGCCGGAGCUCCCUCCGGAAACCCCAAAUCUCGGCGCCCGUAUCCAGAGGCGGUUCGUGUCCCGUUGGUUCUUGGGCUCCUAUCCUCGUUCAGAUCAGGGAGGCUGUUCAGUUCUUGUUUAUCCAGCGGGGCGCAGCGAAAUUUACAGAGGAAUCUCAAUCUCCAAACUGGUAGGAAGAGAGUUUGGUCGAUAGAAGUUGAGCUCUUGUUUGUUCGUUGGUCUGCAGAGUUCACUAGUUCAGAUAAUCAUAUCAUCAACACCAUGAAUUGAAAGAGAUGCUGCACUGCUGUUUAUUGUGUUCACUGUUUAAUUCAUAGCAUCCAUCAAACCUGUAUCUGUUUGGGAGAAUGUUCGAUCAAUGCUACAGUUGGAAUCAAAUUCAACUCAGGACCAAAUUCGUGUUAGGCAAAUAUUCAUGUUCAAUCUGUUAAUACGUUUAACUGCAGUUCUCAACAUCUCUUGACGAGGAAGCAGGGCUGCUGCUGCAAUUCGGCCUGCAAUUCAAGUGCAGCAAUAUGUUGUGUGCAAUUUGUGCAUUAGUGCACAAGUUGAGAAUGGUAAUAUUAUUUCACUCGGAAGAGAUGGAACAGUUGCGAAACGCAGAACCACUCGGUUCAGAGGAGAAUAGUCCUGGACAAAAGGACAGAAAAUGGUCCAAUGGUGAGCAUUGAUCAUUUUUACAGUGAAUGGUGAGCAACUGAUCAGCAUCAACCAUGGUGAAGCUGAACCUGAUAAGUCGACAGCACUAGGGGUGAUGAUCCUAGCCACCCAUAAAUCCUUUCUUGUAUGUUUCCUAACAUAUAUAAGUCAGCAAGUCAAAUGUUCUUAUCGUUUUCUUUAGUCGAUGGUUCAUCGAUUCUGACAUCAAGACAAGAAGCCAACAUACUGCUAGCCAUGUUACUUUCCUCUUGGCUCACAUACGGCCAUUUGAAUGGAUUAGAUUCAGAAAUAACACUAUAUCUCGUCUUUCUUUCUUACUUACAUGAGUUGAAAUAUUCUUGGCCUUUUUUUCUCUACUUACUAGGGCAGAAUUAAGAUUUUGAAGAUGAGCUGCACCCCAAUCCUUAAGAGAUACUAGGAGGUACUCCCUCCGUUUCAUAUUAUAAAACGUUCUAACAUUGCUCACAUUCUAGACACACACAUAUAUAUAUAUAUUGAUUCAUUAAUAUAUAUAUAUGAAUAUGGGCAAUACUAGAAAGUCUUAUAAUAUGAAACGGAAGAAGUACCAUAUUUUCUAAUGUAAAAUUUGGUAUUUCUCGAUACCUUCGGUAUUAGGAGGUCUUUCUUUCUCUAUUUACUAGGGUGGAGUACUCUGAAUGAAUUUCAGUCCAAAUAUCUUUCCUGACAUGGGAAUCUUUUUAGUAGCACGAUGGAGAAAUUUAUAUAUGCAGCUGAAACAUCUUGUUCAUACAUCAGACUGCCAUUUGCACAAUUUGCAAACUUGUUCAAACAUCUUUAUCUAAGAUGGCUUGUCUUGUUCCGUGCAAUUUGCACACUGGAAAACAAACUCCUCAUGCACAGUGGGACAUAAAUGGUGAGACGGAUAAAAGAGCCAUUGUACUAUUUGAACACUGCAUAAGAGAGCCAGCCCAUCUAGUCCACGAGACAUAAUCUCAUAAUGGGAACUUGCUCGUUGUCUUCCUUGUGACCGGCGAUGCCUCGGCUGCACGCAUCAAAGGCCUUGCUCUCAGGCUCAGCUGAGUUUUCUCUCACAACAUAGGGUUUGAACAAUUUUCUGCUUGUCACGUUAGGAGCUAGCCAAUCGAAACGUUGGCUCGCUCGGUCAUCAUCUUGCAUUCCAGAAGACACCCGCCUGCUCCACUGCCGUUCCUGUCGAUCCGAUUCACUUCAGCCUCAGCUCGGCUUUCAUACCAAGCAAGUUAGCUUUGUCAACUUGAGCAAAAUUAACACCGCAAUUUGAGCCGGUUACUUCUUUCUCGUUUGCCUGUUGAUACAAAGAAGCCACCGAAAGGUAAACCCCUUAAUGAUUUCAGUUCUUCAGCUUCAGUAAUCAGUAUAUACUUGCUCAAAACAGAUUGCAAAAUAACUUGCUAGCUACAAAGAUACUCUGAAACCAAUUCAACUUUUGUCCAUUUUCAGACGGUAUUACUCUUGCAUGAUUUAAUUGGAUAUAUUGCUUACGCCAAAAAAAAAAACUUGGAUAUAUUGGAGCAUCACCCUCGACGAGUUUCUCUAUGGCAACCAUACUGGAUUCUUUGAUUGGAUCAUGUGCUAAGAAGUUGCAAGAGAUCAUUACCGAGGAGGCAAUACUAAUUUUAGGUGUAAAAGAAGAUCUUAGAGAACUGCAGGAAAAAAUGGAACAAAUACGAUGCUUUAUAAGUGAUGUGGAGCGAAGGGGCAUGGAAGACUCAUCAAUACACAAUUGGAUUUCUCGUCUAAAAGAUGCUAUGUAUGAUGCUGAUGACAUUAUCGAUUUGGUUAGCUUUGAAGGAAGCAAGCUAUUAAAUGGCCAUUCUUGUUCACCGAGAAAAACAAUUGCAUGUAAUGGGCUUUCACUUCUCUCUUGCUUUUCCAACAUUCGGGUUCACCAUGAGAUUGGUAAUAAAAUUAGAAGCCUGAACAGAAAACUAGAAGAAAUAGCAAAGGAUAAAAUAUUUGUAACACUUGAGAAUACACAGUCAUCUCAUAAAGAUUCAACAUCAGAAUUGAGAAAAAGUUCUCAAAUUGCUGAAUCCAACCUUGUGGGGAAAGAGAUAUUACAUGCUUCUAGAAAAUUGGUGAGCCAGGUUCUUACACACAAGGAAAAGAAGACUUACAAGCUUGCUAUUAUUGGAACAGGGGGAAUCGGAAAGACAACACUUGCUCAGAAAGUAUUCAAUGAUGAGAAAUUAAAACAAAGCUUCGACAAACAUGCAUGGAUCUGUGUUUCUCAGGACUACUCCCCAGCCUCUGUUUUGGGACAACUACUUAGAACCAUCGACGCUCAAUGCAAACAAGAAGAAUCAGUUGGCGAGCUACAAAGCAAGCUUGAAUCGGCUAUUAAAGAUAAGAGUUAUUUUCUUGUGUUGGAUGAUGUAUGGCAGUCUGAUGUGUGGACCAAUCUACUACGAACUCCACUGUAUGCUGCAACCUCGGGAAUAGUUUUGAUAACUACUAGGCAAGAUACUGUCGCUAGAGAAAUUGGGGUUGAGGAACCACAUCAUAUCGACCAAAUGUCACCGGCUGUUGGUUGGGAGCUACUCUGGAAGAGCAUUAACAUUGAGGACGAGAAAGAAGUGCAAAAUCUGCGAGACAUAGGGAUUGAGAUUGUUCAGAAAUGUGGUGGGCUACCUCUUGCAAUCAAGGUUAUUGCUAGAGUUUUGGCAAGCAAAGAUAAAGCAGAGAACGAAUGGAAAAAGAUUUUAGCUAAUUACGUUUGGUCCAUGUAUAAACUUCCUAAGGAAAUAAGAGGUGCUCUAUAUCUAAGCUACGAUGAUUUACCACAGCAUUUAAAGCAAUGUUUUCUUUAUUGUAUUGUAUAUCCUGAAGACUGGACCAUUCACCGUGAUUACCUUAUCAGGUUGUGGGUUGCCGAAGGCUUUGUAGAAGUGCACAAAGAUCAACUACUAGAAGAUACAGCAGAAGAAUACUACUAUGAGCUAAUAAGUAGGAAUCUCCUCCAACCGGUUGACACAUCUUUUGAUCAGAGCAAAUGCAAAAUGCAUGAUCUCUUAAGGCAACUUGCUUGCCAUCUAUCAAGAGAAGAAUGUUAUAUUGGAGAUCCAACAUCAUUGGUGGAUAAUAACAUGUGUAAAUUGCGCCGCAUUUUAGCUAUCACCGAGAAAGAUAUGGUAGUCAUACCUAGCAUGGGUAAGGAGGAGAUUAAGUUGAGAACUUUUAGAACCCAACCAAAUCCACUGGGAAUUGAGAAAACAUUUUUCAUGAGAUUCACGUAUCUUCGUGUUUUGGACUUGACUGACUUACUUGUGGAAGAAAUACCAGAUUGUGUUGGAUAUUUAAUUCAUCUACGUUUACUUGAUCUUAGUGGAACCAACAUAUCCUGUCUUCCAAAAUCUAUUGGUGCUCUAAAAAACCUCCAGAUGUUACACUUACAGCGGUGUGAAUCUUUGUACAGUUUGCCCAGCAUGAUCACUCGGUUAUGCAAUUUAAGGCGGCUUGGUCUUGAUGAUUCACCAAUAAAUCAGGUUCCAAGAGGGAUAGGAAGACUUGAAUUCCUCAAUGAUUUAGAAGGAUUUCCUGUUGGAGGUGGAAGUGACAAUACUAAAAUGCAAGACGGAUGGAACUUGCAGGAGUUAGCUCAUCUUUCACAGUUACGCCGGCUUGACUUGAACAAAUUGGAAAGAGCAACUCCUAGGAGCAGUACAGAUGCAUUGUUGCUAACUGACAAAAAGCAUCUUAAAAGUCUACAUCUAUGCUGCACUGAACCGACUGAUGAAGCAUGCUCAGAGGAAGGCAUUAGCAAUGUCGAGAUGAUCUUUGAGCAGCUAAGUCCUCCACGCAAUUUAGAAGAUCUUAUGAUUGUAUUAUUCUUUGGGCGAAGGUUCCCCACCUGGCUUAGUACAUCCCUUUUAUCUUCACUGACAUAUUUGAAACUCAAAGAUUGCAAAUCUUGUGUGCAUCUUCCACCAAUUGGACAGCUACCAACUUGAAAUACCUUAGAAUUGAUGGAGCAAGUGCAAUCACCAAGAUUGGACCCGAAUUUGUUGGCUGCUGGGAGGGUAAUCUCAUAUCCACAGAGACAGUUGCUUUCCCUAGGCUUGAAUUAUUGGCUAUCAAGGAUAUGCCCAACUGGGAGGAGUGGUCCUUUGUCAAAGAAGAAGAGUUGCAGGAGGAGAAAGCAGCUGCAGCAGCCCAGGAAGGGGGAAAGGAUGGAACUGCUGCUUCGAAGCAAAAGGGGGAGGAAGCCCCGUCUCCAACUCCAAGGUCGUCGUGGCUGCUGCCUUGUUUGAAGCAGUUGCAACUUGUGGAGUGCCCCAAGCUGAGGGCUCUCCCACCACAGCUUGGACAGCAGGCCACCAACUUGAAGGAGCUCGAUAUAAGAAGAGCAAGAUGCUUGAAGAUGGUGGAACACCUCCCAUUCCUCUCUGGUAUACUUUUUGUUCAAAGUUGUCAAGGCCUGGAGAUAAUCUCCAACCUUCCCCAAGUGAGAGAGCUACUUGUAAAUCAUUGCCCGAAUUUGAGGCAUGUUGAGAUGUUGGGUGGUUUGGAGCAGCUAUGGCUGUCAAAGAAUAUGCAGAAGAUCUCUUCACUGUGGGUCCCAGGGCUUGAGGAGCAACAUCGCCAGCUCCAUGGAGAUGAGCAUAAGUUGGAGGUCAACGAGUGGUUUUAAGAGCCAAUUAAUUAGAUGGCACAAGGUAUGUACACUAAUUGGUUGGGAUUUUUCACUGGAAUAAACUAAUCAUUGGGUUGUACAUCCAUGCUUCUUCUCUGCUCUUCAGCUGUAUGCAACUACUCUAGCAUUUGAUAGUCUCCUUAGUUGUUCAUGUUGUGUGAAUUGUGAUUGUUUAAUAAUUUAUAUGAUUUAGUUCUUUUUUCAUUGAGUUUUUCUCCCGGCCUUCCUUUUGUAGCACGCGGUACUGGUACUGUGAGGUACCAGUCUCCAUCCGGCCGUUGAUUGCUGAGGGGUACGAUGGGUAUCACGUGUGGUCCAAAUAGCGUGUGUGUCUCGAUAUCUCUCGCUUUCCCUUCUCCUUCUGCAUCUAGCGCUGCCGCAGGGCACAUGAGAAAAAAGUCGAGGUGAAGGUCGACCCCAUCGGCCGCACCGCCGCAGGCAGACGCAGCAAGGGCGAUGGCAUCCGCAAUCGUCCCAGAAUCGUGGCCGCUGCAGUUGUCCUCGCCAGCGCCACAGGAGUUGUCGCUGCCGCAGGUGUCAUCGCUGCAGCCGUAGGUGUCAUCAUCGCGGUCACAGGAGUCGUCUCGGCGCCGCUGCAAGGGCCGUGGCUGCAGUGGAUCUCCAGGACCCCAUCCGCAGCAUGGUCGCAGGAGUCGCAGCGUUGAGAGGAAUGGAUGAGGCGCCGCCGCGAAGGGGAAAACGAUGGGACAAGGGGAAGACGCCAGCAUCGAGACCAACGAAUGCCGCCGCCGCCGCCGUCGUAUUGUCCGCCACGCGCCGCCGUCGGGAGGAAGCCUAGGGUUUUGCUACUCUGCGGCACUUCCCCAAACAAACCACCGAUCCAAACAUCCUUCCAAACGCGAAAAUACGAUUAUACCCUUCCACUAUGGCUCACUCGUGCUUGCUACCCCACGAUCAAGCUGGUACCCUGAGGUACCAUGUAAUCGUGACCAUUCGAUAUGCCAUCAUUAAUGGAUGGGAUUUUAGUACCUUGCGGUACAAAAAGAAUGACCGGAGCAAUGCUCUUUUUCAUUAGUGCUGCAUGUAACCAUUUCACCGUGGUCAAGAUUUUCAUAAAAUGGUAGAUAUAGAUCAACAAAUUAAUUAGUUGACCAUAUCUUUUAUCCACUCAUGGUCUUAUUAACAUCCUGUAUGGUAUGUUAAAUAAGUGUAUCGUCCUAUAGGUACUACAACAUGAUCAUAUGCAGUAGUGUACAAAGAUUUGAAGACAGAGAUAGAGACUACUGCUACUCCAAAACAAAACUGUAUGGGUUAUAUCGCCAAAAACAUGCUAUGAUGGCAUUGCUAUUCACUAUAUGUCAAUAGGAAUAUCAUAGAUGGAUAUAUCCAUCCAAUGAUUUGUCCCAACAUAAAUGGUUUAGCAUUUGGUUCAUAGGCUGCAAAAGUGAGGGACUAAACAUAUUGGGCUUCGUUAGGCCAAGAGAUAAGUAACCCUUAAUUUGACUCUUGAAUGUACCAGCUAUGAUGCAGACCAGCUUACAUGCAUUUAGCCUUCAAUUUCACAAGUGUGUUCUAUAUCAGAUCAUGCAUGUGUGCAAAAGAUAGCAUUUACUAUCUUGUAAAAACACAUAUACACAUGAAUUUUUGCAAGACAUUAGACCUAUAGAAUAAUUUUUUUUUACGACAAAAAAUAGGUUAGGCCCAAUGUUACAGAUUCCUUGCGACCUGUUAGCAGGAUAUUAAACAUGAAAGGGUUGUGCCCAACAUCUGUUUCUACUGUAGGGCUCCUAAUUAAGGUUUGUUUAGUGCCAAAAGUAUCCACCUAAAUGUCUUUGCAUUGGUUCAAAUUGAUUAAUAUUUUUUUUCAUAUUCUAUCAGUUAAAAUAAGCGGAGGAUAUUACCGACAUGCCUAUCUGUAUAUGUGUCUUUUCCUUAUACUUUUUGUAAUGCAUGCCUGAUGUUUGGUAAGUUAAUUCCACGAAAUAUGAUUGUUGCGAAACUGAUAGCACUUAUAUUUAUUUCCUUAAUUAAGUUAUUAAAACUGAUGUCUGAUGUAUAAAGUAUAUAUACAUCCGUGAUUAAUUUUUGUGUGCUUAUUUGUUUUGUAGGUUGUUAAUCUUGAAGAGUUGGAGUGCAGUCAUUCCUCAGAGAAUAAAAUGAAAAAAAAAUCACAAAACAUGAAAAUUUAAAACAAAAAAAAAACAAAAGCAUCAAAAAAAGGGGAAAUGUCAAAAAUUGAAAAAAAAAGCAUUUUCUUUAGCUAUUGUAAAAUACAUCUUCAUAUAAUUUGUUAUAUUUGCUUGCGUUUGUUUUCUUUUAAAACUUUUUUUAUUGUAGGUGUGUAGGUAACUCCGCCUAUGUCAUCUUAAGGCGUAACUAAAUGACAUAGCCGGUCCCAAGCCCGGAAAAAGGAGGAGGGGAUAUAAUCUUGUAUACUUCUAUAUUGAAAUGAUGCUCUGCUGCUAAAUACAUCAUUUGAUAUUUUCUUGGAAGUUUCUGCACUUUUAUCAAGCUAAUUUCAUCUUCAGUAAUGGAUCAGAAUAGUUAUGGAGAGUCAUCCACUCUGUUUAAUUGUUCAACAAAUCUGAUUCUAGACUAUUUUAGUUUGACCUCAUUACAGUCCAGUUUUCCAGUAAAAGCAAUUUGGAUGAACACAUGCAUCAGUUCAUUCUCCUCUGUCGGUCUGUCCUACAUCCUUCAGUUAUCAGUGCCAGAUCAAUGAUCACAAGAGUUGAUAUUUUGGAGACCACAAAUGCACAAGUCUGUUUGUUGGAGGCUUUAGUAUUUUUCAUGAUCAAAACUGGUGCAGAAAACAUCUGUUAUCACAUAUCACGCUAUUUAGGUUCAGAACAUAAUUAUGAAGCACAUGAUCAACAAAUAAAAAUGAUGAAUUUAAAUUCAUGAAAAAUGGAAUUGGCAAAAACCAGAAAAACAGAGAGGCGUGCUUGAUGUCCUGACAAGAAUGAUUUCCAGCGAUGGUCAGUAAUUACUGAAGUACAUUGCUCUAGUGAAUCUUUACAUAAUCACUUCACCUCCAUGCAAGUUUCUUGACUGGAAAAAGGUAAACAUGGAACAGAAUAACAAACUGCACCUGGAGGGGGCUACUUUAUUUUUAUUUUUUUUUGAAAGAUACCUUAAAGCGGAUACUGAACUGGACUGAAAUUGCCACUGAAUGUUCGAUCACAUUAAGCCUGGCAGGAAAGCGGAGUUCUCAACAAACAGAGUUGGACAGGAAAUGGUCCAGCAGCAAUGCAAACAAGCAAUGCUGAUCCGGGUAGGAAUGGGCGAGUUCAAGUCGUUGUGUCACGCAGGGUUCUUCUUCCCCGAGGCGAAGAUCAAGGGACACUGGAAGUGGAGCAAGACGAUUAAGGUCGUCGAAAGCGAGACGCUCGGCAGCGCUACCUAUGGUAAGAAUAGGAAGAUCUUACAAUCGAAUUCAGGGCGUUCAGGUAAACACUAGACAAAUCCCAAUCGCCAAAUCCACAGCAUCCUAAACGAAAAUCAACAGUGUUUCUCACAGCAAUGAUCUGAACGAAAUUCAUCUUCACAUGCAUAUAUAUCACCCAUGGCCAGCACCCCCACACAUACAUAUCUUAUUCAACAAAAUUACAAGCAGUUCCCUGAUAAAGUUGCAUAUUACACCAACAGGUUCUGCAACUUCCAUGCAGCUCAUUAUCAGAACAUCAAACUUCUAUUGAGCAGGAAUGAAUGAAUGGAUCAAUGGGUAGAUGGUAGGAGUACCAUACUGACUGUGUGUAUUGUUAGGAAACCGCCGGCCCAUGAAGGCCCGGCUCGGUUACCCACUAAUUAGGCCCAUCACUAAAUAUGGAAGGUGGAAGAGGGAAUGGCUAUAAAUAGAGGAGUAGAGAGGAGGAUUGUACACUUGAGAAUGCAAUGGAUGAAUGAGAAAGGAUGCCACACCCUCAUAUCUUGUGUCUCCACUUUUGUAGAAUUACGCAAUCCCUCUUGGACUAUCUCGGUACAUUUAGUCUCCCUGAUGGUUACAGCCCACCUUAACUGAAUUUUACAUCAGCAAUGAUUGUGUGCAAGGCCCUCUUUCCUCCACCAGAUGAUGCUUUAUGACCACAAAAUCCAUGUAUAUCUUGAUGAACAGAAAAGAAAAUCAUUCCUUCCAUUAUCCAACAUCGUUUUUUAUUGAGUCCAUCCUUUUCCAUUUAAACGCUGAACAGAACAGCUUGUUACUCUGUCAUCAGGAUUGGUUCAGGAAUCAGGAGAGAUAUUAUGACAAAUACCCUAGCUUUUCCCCUUGUUGUCCCGUCAUAUUGUUGAAUUAACUGUAGUUUUGAUGGGAUGCUAAAAAGUGCCCCUUUUGGAUACUUCAACCUUCCUAAUAUUCCAUGUAAGCUGUUUUCCUAAUUUUUCGCAUUGUAAUCUGCUCUACUAGCAAUGGCUUAUGUGCUACAUCUCCUGUACAGGAUUCAGAACUCGAGUUCUUGCCACAAAAUGGUUACUGUACACACAAAUCUGGCUAAAAUUGUAAAUGGAAAAUUUCAAAUGCCAACUGCAAUUAACAGCAGAUUGAGUUGCAAUUAACUCUCCUAUGCUUUAGAGUUCACCCCCAAAUCAUCAACCCUCUUAUAUGGACUCUGAAAUCAGAAUCGAGUUUUGUGUUCAGUUAUUGCAGUUCAGUGCUCUAGUUUCAUCUCAACUGUUCCGAGUAAUUAACAACUGGACUAGAAAUUAUUCUUCCCCUGUACUGAAACUCACUCACUGACUCAUCGAAGCGCUCAUACACUCUUUGAUGGGCCAUACACUUUGGGCCUCGUUUUGCUCCUGCCCUGUGCAGCUGUGCUGACGGGCCGCAUGUCCCCGUAGUAUGGAAAAAGUACACCGAAGGUCCCUCAACUUGUCAUCGAGUUACAAAAUUGUCCCCCACGUCCCUUAACUAAUCAAAACCGGUCACAAUAGGUCCUUUGGUGUUUUUGACUCCGGUUUUAUCCUAUGUGGCAACUGACUCAGCAUGGGACCCACGUGGGUCCCACAUGUCAGCAUCUUAUUCCUUCCUCUCUCUACUGCCCUUUCCAAUCCCCCUUCCACGGGCGACGGGCGUGCGCGGGACGGAGAGGCGGGGCGCGGGCGGCUGGGCACGGCGUGGCCGGCGGCCGACCGGAAAGAACUGAGCGGCGGCGGCGGGGGAGGAGCUAGGCGCGAGGGCGGUCGCGGUGGAGCCGGUGCCAUCCUCGCCUCGCCUCCCGCACGCGCGCGUGUGCGUGCGCCUCGCCACACCCCCGCCGCCUACCGCGCGCUCGCAGCCGCCACUGCCGAGCAAGGCGAAGGCGCCAUGGCGGCGCUCACGCAGGCACUCCCGUCCGUGGCACCCGUGCCGCCGCCGUCGUGAUCUCUCUCCUCAUCGUCAUCUAGUUCCAAGGAAGGAUUUGGUCUGUGUCUGUACAUGACUUUUUUUUUGUUUUGCUCGGGCUAGCUUGGCCAUUGUUAGUGAAUUGAUGGUGAAAAUAAAAAAGAGUUUAUUGGGUAGGUCUGGUGUUGCCGCCAACGCCGUCCCGCGACCAGGCAGCGGCAGCAAUCGGAGACGACCACGCUGCGGCGACAAAACAGAGGGGAACACGCAGCGGGGAACGGAGGGGAACAUGUCGAUCUGGCCGAUGUCAAGGUUGGUGGGUACCAGCGUGGGGUUCACCCGCUCGACGGCCUGGUACUGCAUCAGGCUCUGCAGCUUGGUGGUGGAGACAAUCCAGAAGGUGUCGCCGGCGUUGAUCUGGUACUGCAUAGGCGCGUAUGCAUUGGGCGAGUGGGAGGGGCACCCACACUGGAGCGGCACAAGCAGCGGCUGCCCCGCCGCUCGCGCGCAACCCCUCCCCCCACCGACCGCGUGACGCCCCUCCCCCGUCGCCGCUUCGUGGGUCUCGUCCCCUCCCUCCCCCACGCACCCGUCCGUCUCGCGCGACGCCAUCACCGCUGACGCCCUCCUCCUCUCCCGCCUCGCAGAACGCAGAGCAGAGAAGUGAGAGAGAGAGAGAGAGAUGAGGAAGGGAGAGAAGAGGGGAAAAGAGAGAGAAGGCUGACGUGGCCACACUGACAUGUGGGAUCCACGCGGGUCCUACGCUAACUCAGCCGCCAUGUCGGACAAAACCAGGGUCAAAACCACCGAAGGAUGUAAAGUGAACGGUUUUGUUAGUUGAGGGAUGCCCGCUAUUUGGUUUUGUGGUUGGAGGAUGAUUUUGUAUCUCGAUGACAAAUUGAGGGACCUUUGGUGUACUUUUUCCCCCAUAGUAUCGUCCAGGCCCACAAAUUAAAUGGAAUCCCUUGCUGGACCAUAUAACAUGGGCCUACGUCGCUUCCGGCGUACGCCCAUUAAUCGGCCCGACCGCAAGAGCGAUAGUCUCCUGGAUGAGAGAAUCCGCCGCCAUGGCAGCCGCUCGCCGGAGCUCCGCCGACUGGCCACGGAGCUCCUCUCCGGCGAAGAUUUGCAUCACGUAGGUUCUUCGAGUCUUCCCUUUCCAUAAUGUGCUUUGGCUCUUUCAUCUUCUUCUCUCUGUCUCACAGAUCAGACAAGUUGCGCAUGAUACCAAAUUAGAGAUGCUGUACUGCUGAGUAAACUUCAGAUACUAUUGUGUUACCAAAAAUUAUCCCGGGAAAGCAACACCUGAAUUCUUUUGAUAUCAACACAUAUCUGUUUGGGACAAUGUUAGAUCAGUGCUCCUGUUGAUGUCACAAUCCAAUUGGAUGCUUUCUAGGAGUAAAAUGCUUUCUAGGAGUAAAUGUUCUGUGCAAUAUUGAGUUCAACACUUCAAUCAAACCAGAUGGUUUCAGAUCAGAGGUAUUCUAAGGCAUAGUUAUCAACAACACAAACUUGCAGAAGGACUAUCAAACUGGAGGAAAUAAAUUUUGGUCAAAUAGAAAGAAGUCAUGAAAACAAGUACUCAUCUAAGCAAUUACUCCAGUAAUUAUGUAUAAUAUUCUAUGAGAAAUAGUUACAAUGGCACAGACUCCAAGAGUUUUUGAAGACUUCGUGAUAUGUUCAUCAGCCAUAAAUUCUAGAAUUAGAAUGCGACAUGACUAGCAAGAUCCAAAUUCUCCAAGAAUGCUCUGUCCUUGUCUCUAUUGCCCGGCUCCUUCACACUGCAGAUGCAAAGCAGAGUGAACUGAUUGGGGUCUGGAUGGUCGGGUGUGAUCCCAUUCUCUAGACUCUUUGAGAUAACAAAGAUUUGCUCUUUGUCACCUUUAAUCUCCUUCUUGAGAAGUACUAGAAGCAUCUCAGUUGCCUGCAGCUUAGUAGGGUUCAACGUGGAGAGGAAGAUCUGCAAGAACCAGAUAGGCAUCAGCCAUGAGUACCAUGAAGUUUUGCCGUGAAUGGUAAGCUGAUUAGAAUCUUAUAUAGUCAUAUAUAUUUACCUUUCUUAGUUUUCUAUGUAAUAAGUGAUAAUAGAAGAAUUUUGUUGUUGCUGAGUGUGAGUGCAGUAACAACAUCAGGUUCUUAGAAAGCCCUCAUCCAACUUCACAUAUUCUACUCCGUAUUAUUUAUAGACAUUUAGAAGGGGCUAAUCUCUAAAAUUCUGUAAGACUUUGAGGUGACAAACUUCCAUGAGCUGACCUAGAAUUGAACCGAUUACUUCUGCACUUCACUAAUGUACCACAAGUGUUACAGUACAGUCAAGAGAAAACUCAACCUUCAGACUUUCGGUUCCAACUGUGUUUUUGCCUUUUUCUGUAAAAGGAACAACAUCAUUAUGAACCAUUGUGUCAUACAUACCACAAACGUACAGUAUCUAGAUUUUAUCAUGAGAGUGCCCGUAAUAUGUUGAUUCUUGUUCAUUCUUGAGCUAGAAAAUACUAACAGCUUUGGAUGGCAAUCUCUGCAUUGCUUGACUGAACUUUUGCAAGCUCCUGAAUCACAGGAGGUAGCUGACAGAUACUGUGUGUACCGCAACAUGGUGCACCACAUCGCCGGGGAGUUCACCACAUUGCUUGACCUGGAAGGAUGUCUUCUUCCAGGUCAGGAUUAUCGGUCAGAGACAAACCACCAGUUUCUUCAUAGUUCAGAAUUACAUAGAAACUACUAAACUCUGAAAGGUGAAAGCUUUAAAAGCUUUAAACCACAGCGAGGGGUGAGGAAGGCAUGACGCUUAUCUUCGUGUGCUGCAACCCCAGCUGCGGUCACAGAUGGAGGGAGUACGUGGCAUGCAAAGGCAGUAGAGAUUUGCGUUAUGCCAUGAAUUGGUCUAUGUUUACUUUGUCAACAAGAGUAUGAGAUGCCAUGAUCCUAUGACAGAGGAAACAAAACUGAAGCAUGUGUGGCCUUCCUUCUCUAUCUGUUUUUUUUUCUAAUUCAAGGGCGCAGCUAGUUGACUAGUUCCACAUCAUGGAAUCUUGAAGCCAACAGUAAAGUAAUCACAUAGAAGUAAACUGUAGAUCAAUCACAUGGAAAUAAACUGUGAACUAAUCACAUCGACUAGACAAGUGGACAAGCACAAAACGUUGGGUUGUGGAGCAUAGACAAGUGGACAAUAACUCAAAAUUGGGUCAGCGGUAUUAACGUGGGAAAGAUAAAAGAAAAGAGUGGUUCAGCACUUGUCUAGUCUGAAUGUUCAGCUAGCUAUGCAAUAUAUAUAUGCAAGGUCUUACCACUCCCUCCUGCAGUACUGUUGCUUUGUUCCACUGUUGUGUGUGUGGCAUUCUUGUACUGCAUUUCUACCAGCUGUGGGUAAGCUCAAGACAUAUAGCUGAAUUUACUUCCUUUGUUUCCUUAAGAUAAUCUGUAAAUGCUCGUUUUGAUUGCAGGCACGGUGUUUCAUCAGGAUCAGUCGUGUCUAUUUCUGUCUGCCCUGUGAUCGCUUGAGACGAGGUCUGCUAGGAAGGAAAAUCUGCUUCAUCUGAAUAAACACAUAUAUACUGAUAUCUCCUUGUAGCAGACACUCUCCCGUCGGUGGAUGUCAACACAUUCACCUGUAUUUUUGGUAUUAUCCCAUUGAUCCUUCUAGUUAACCUUCUGAAUCAUUCAAGUUUUACAUCGGUAUAAUGAGCAUACACUUCACCUCUUAUUUUCAUCUCCCCUUUUUGCAGUUGUAGCAGCACAAUCAGUGGUUCUCUCUUGAUGACUGGCUCAUAAUGUUCUGAAAUCCUUUCUACAGUUGGCGUAUCCACUGAGUUUCUUUUGAUCUUCACUAAUCUGAGUCUGUCGAGUAUCUAAAGUAGAUGGGUCAGAGCAAACUUCUAGCUUGUGCAAGAUGAAUGCUACUAUACUAUUGAUCCUUGUUAUGUGACUUAUGUCUUUUCAUGCUGAAUUAUCACUCCAUAAGGUAAGAUUUGCAUGCAAUAUACUUGAGUAAAACCCCUCAACUUGUUUCCGGUUACUUCUUUCUCCUCAUUUACCUUUAACCCAAGAAGCUUACCCGAAAUGUAACCCCAUUAUUCCAGUUCUUUAGCUUCAGUAUGCUAACUUGCUCAAAACUCAUGGCAAAACAACUUAUUAAAAACCUUACCGAAAUGUAACCCCAUUAUUCUAGAUACUCUGAAACUGAUUGAACUUUUGUCCAUUUUCAGAUCGUGUAAUUCUCAUAAGUAAUUUACUUAGAAAUUUUGGUGCAUCACCAUCAACGAGUUUCUCUAUGGCAACCAUAUUGGGUUCUUUGAUUGGAUCAUGCGUAAACAAGUUGCAAGGCAUCAUUACAGAGGAGGCAAUACUAAUUUUAGGUGUAGAAGAAGAACUCAAAAAACUGCAGAAAAGAAUGAAACAAAUACAGUGCUUUCUCAGUGAUGCUGAGCGAAGGGGAAUGGAAGACUCAGCAGUACACAAUUGGGUUUCUUGGCUAAAAGAUGCUAUGUAUGAUGCUGAUGACAUUAUCGAUUUGGCUAGUUUUGAAGGAAGCAAGCUAUUAAAUGGCCAUUCUUCUUCACCAAGAAAAACAACUGCAUGCGGUGGGCUUUCACCUCUCUCUUGCUUUUCCAAUAUUCAGGUUCGCCAUGAGAUUGGUGAUAAAAUUAGAAGUCUGAACCGGAAAUUAGCGGAAAUAGAAAAGGAUAAAAUAUUUGCAACACUUAAGAAUGCACAACCAGCUGAUAAAGGUUCAACAUCAGAACUGAGAAAAACAUCUCACAUUGUUGAACCCAACCUUGUGGGGAAAGAGAUAUUAAAAGUUUCUAGAAAUUUGGUGUGCCACGUGCUUGCACACAAGGAAAAGAAGGCUUACAAGCUUGCUAUUGUUGGAACAGGGGGAAUCGGAAAGACAACACUUGCUCAGAAAUUAUUCAAUGAUCAGAAAUUAAAAGGAAGCUUCAACAAACAUGCUUGGAUUUGUGUUUCUCAGGACUACUCCCCGUCCUCUGUUUUGAGACAACUACUUAGAACCAUGGAGGUUCAGCACAGACAGGAAGAAUCAGUUGGCGAGCUCCAAAGCAAGCUUGAAUUGGCUAUUAAAGAUAAGAGUUAUUUUCUUGUGUUGGACGAUGUAUGGCAGCAUGAUGUAUGGACCAAUCUACUACGAACUCCACUGCAUGCUGCAACCUCAGGAAUAAUUUUGAUAACUACUCGGCAAGAUAUUGUCGCUAGGGAAAUUGGGGUUGAGAAACAGCAUCGUGUUGACCAAAUGUCACCAGCUGAUGGUUGGGAGCUACUCUGGAAGAGCAUUAGCAUUCAGGAUGAAAAAGAAGUGCAAAAUCUGCGAGACAUAGGGAUCAAGAUUAUUCAGAAAUGUGGUGGUCUACCUCUUGCAAUCAAGGUUAUUGCUAGAGUUUUGGCAAGCAAAGAUAAAACAGAGAACGAAUGGAAAAGGAUUUUAGAUAAAAAUGUUUGGUCCAUGGCUAAACUUCCUAAAGAAAUAAGAGGUGCUCUAUAUCUAAGCUAUGAUGAUUUACCACAACAUUUAAAGCAAUGUUUUCUUUAUUGUAUUGUAUUUCCUGAAGACUGGACCAUUCAUCGUGAUUACCUUAUUAGGAUGUGGGUUGCCGAAGGCUUUGUAGAAGUGCACAAAGAUCAAUUACUUGAAGAUACAGCAGAAGAAUACUACUAUGAGCUAAUAAGUAGGAAUCUCCUCCAACCAGUUAACACAUCUUUUGAUAAGAGCCAAUGCAAAAUGCAUGAUCUCUUAAGGCAACUUGCUUGUUAUAUAUCAAGAGAAGAAUGCUAUAUUGGAGAUCCAACAUCAUGUGUGGAUAAUAACAUGUGUAAACUGCGACGCAUUUUAGUUAUCACCGAGAAAGAUAUGGUUGUCAUACCUAGCAUGGGUAAGGAGGAGAUUAAGUUGAGAACUUUUAGAACCCAACAACAUCCAGUUGGAAUUGAGAACACAAUUUUUAUGAGAUUUAUGUAUCUUCGUGUUUUGGAUUUAUCUGACUUACUUGUGGAAAAAAUACCAGAUUGUAUUGGACAUUUAAUUCAUCUACAUUUACUUGAUCUUGAUAGAACCUGCAUAUCUUGUCUUCCAGAGUCUAUUGGUGCUCUAAAAAAUCUCCAAAUGUUACACUUGCAUAGGUGUAAAUCUUUGCACAGUUUGCCUACUGCAAUCACUCAGUUAUAUAAUUUAAGACGGCUUGAUAUAGUUGAGACACCAAUAAAUCAGGUCCCAAAAGGGAUAGGAAGACUAAAAUUUCUCAAUGAUUUAGAAGGAUUCCCUGUCAGUGGUGGAAGUGACAAUGCUAAAAUGCAAGAUGGAUGGAAUUUGGAAGAGUUGGCUGAUCUUUCAAAGUUGAGACGGCUUAUUAUGAUAAACUUGGAAAGAGGUACUCCUCACAGUGGUGUAGACCCAUUUCUGCUAACAGAGAAAAAGUAUCUCAAAGUUCUGAAUCUAUGGUGCACUGAACAGACAGAUGAAGCAUAUUCAGAGGAAAAUGCUAGCAACGUUGAGAACAUCUUCGAGAUGCUAACACCUCCACACAACUUACGAGAUCUUGUUAUUGGGUAUUUCUUUGGUUGUAGAUUCCCCACCUGGCUUGGUACUACCCAUUUGCCUUCAGUGAAAUCCAUGAUCCUCGCAAAUUGCAAAUCCUGUGUGCACCUUCCACCAAUCGGACAGCUACCAAACUUGAACUACUUGAAAAUUAUUGGAGCAAGUGCAAUCACCAAGAUUGGACCCGAAUUCGUUGGCUGCAGGGAAGGUAAUCUCAUAUCCACAGAGGCAGUUGCUUUCCCCAAGCUCGAAAUGUUGAUCAUCAAGGAUAUGCCCAACUGGGAGGAGUGGUCCUUUGUUGAACAAGAAGAAGAAGAGGUGCAGGAGGAGGAAGCAGUUGCAGCAGCCAAGGAAGGGGGAGAGGAUGGAACUGUUGCUUCGAAGCAAAAGGGGAAAGUAGCCCUGUCUCCAAGGUCAUCGUGGCUGAUGCCUUGUUUGAGGAGGUUGGAUCUUUGGGACUGCCCCAAGCUGAGGGCUCUCCCACCACAGCUUGGACAGACCAACUUGAAGGAGCUCCUUAUAAGAUACACAAGUUGAUUGAAGACGGUGGAGGACCUCCCGUUCCUCUCUGGUUUACUUUUAGUUGAAAGAUGUGAAGACCUAGAGAGGAUCUCCAACCUUCCCCAAGUGAGAGAGUUGUUUUUAAAUUGUUGCCCGAAUUUGAGGCAUGUUGAGGAGUUGGGCGGUUUGGAGCAGCUAUGGCUGGAUGAAGGUAUGCACGAGAUCUCUCAGCAGUGGGUCCCUGGGCUUCAGGAGCUACACUGCAAGCUCCAUGGAGAUGAGCAUGAGCUGGUGGUCAACGAGUAGCUCUAAGACCCAAUUAAUUUAGAUGGUGCAAGGUAUGUACACUAAUUGCUUGGGAUUUUUCACUGGAAUAUACUAAUCUUUGGGUUGUACAUUCAUGCUGCUCCUCUGCUCUUCAGCUGUAUGCAUCUAUUCUAGCAUUUGAUAGUCUCCUUAGUUGUUCAUGUUGUGUGCAUUGACUGAUUGUUUAAUCACUUAUAUGAUUUAGUAUUUAUUUCAUUACUGCUGCACGUAACCAUUUCACCGUGGUCAAGAUUUUCAUAAAAUGGUGGAUAUACAUCGACAAAUUUGUUAGUUGUCCAUAUCUUUUAUCCUCUCAUGAUCUUAUUAACAUGCAUCCUGCACAUACGGUGUAUUCUAGAUAAAUGUAUUGUCCUAUAUGUACUACAACAUAAUCAUGUGCAGUAGUGUUCCUAGCUCUGCAGACAUAGAUAGAGAUUACUGCUACUCCAAAAGAAAAUUGUAUGGGUUAUAUCACCAAACAAUGCUAUGAUGGCAUUGCUAUAUUCACUAUAUGCCAGUAGUAAUAUCACAUAUGCAUAUAUCCAUUCAAGGAUUUGGGGACAACAUAAAGGCAAAAUUUGCCACUGGACACGCAAAAAAACGUGUAAUUGGCUGAGAGACACCGCGAAAACGUGACAUGGCUGAUGGACACUACAAAAAAUGUGUAAUUGGCUGUAGGACACUCGUCGCAUUAUUUUAUUAUUUCCGGGUCAAAACAGGUGAGAUAUUUUUCUAAAUGCCCGGAUUGCCCCUUCUCUUUCCUUCUUUAAACACCGGUGGGUCCCAUGUGUCAUGGACAGUGUAUGUUUAAUCUAAUUUAUAAUAGGUUUUUAACCACCUGGCCCCACGCGUCAUGGACUAAUUUUUGUAACACCCUGAAAAUUUGACCAACAAAAAUCAAAGUUCCAAAAAUAUGGACCUUCAAAAACUUUUUAAAUAAAUUGCAUCAUGCUGAUUUUGUUCACCUAUUUCAUCGGAUUUUAAUUUCGGAGUUCAUAGAUCACGAAUAAAGAAUAGUUAAUUAGGAAUAAACCCUAAAAUUAGAUUGGCAAGAGAAAUAAUUAAGAUAUAAUUUAAAAUAAAGAUUAUGUGAGGAUAGAAAUAAAUAAAACAUUAUCACGACCAUAUUUAUAUCAAUUAAAUUUAAAUGUGAUGGAAUAAGAAUUAACUCUAAUUAAAUUCCAAUAAAUUAUAUAUAAAAAUAAAAUAUGGGUAAUGAUAAUCUAGGUUAGAGCAACACAAAUAUUGUGUAAACUUGAUUUGUGCAAAAAUUAUAAAUAUUGGGACAAGAUUUGAAUAGGAAAAACAACCAAAUAGGAAAAACAGAAAAAAAUUCACUAUUCAUUGCGCUGUAAGUGUUCGAUCGCGUUCCCUAGCCCUAACCCCUCCUCUGCCGCACGCGCCUGGCCGCCAUCACGUCGCCGCUGUCGCCCGUCGCGUCGUCGCCUUGCGCCCCGUGCCGCCGCGCGCCGUCGCCGUCGCUGCCGCGCCGCCUUGCGCCCCGUGCCGCCGCGUGCGCCGUCGCCGUCGCCGUUCCGUCGCCGCGCGUGCGUCUCAUCGCCUCGCGCCUCGCGCCGCCGUCGCCGCUGUCGCCCGUCCCGUCGCCGCGCCGUCGUCCUGUCGCCGUCGCGUCGCCGCCUCGUGCCCCGCGCCCGCGCGCCGCCCGCCCGUCGCGUCGCCGCCUCGCGCCCCGCGCUGCUGCCGCGCCGCAUCGUCGUCGCAUCGCCGUCGUCGUCGCACCGAGCCCCGUGUCACGCCGCGCUGCCCGCCCGUCGCCAUCGCCGCCUGCCGCGCCGCGCGCCGCCUGUCACGUCGCCAUAAGGCUGCCCGCCCCGCUCCACGCCCUAUAAAGCCCGACCCCUCCUCUUCUCCACCCCACACACAUCCCCUUCAUCUUUCCUCCUCUCCCUCUCCCCCUUCCCCACGCGCCGCCGUCGUCGUGCCGCCGCGCCGCCGCCUUCGAGCCGCCGCGCUGCGCCGCGACUUGCGCCGCCGUCGCCAUCGUCGCCGCCGCUGCCCCCCCACCUCGCGUCCACCGCCGCCGCCGCCCGGGUGGGCAAGGAGCCGAGAGAGAGAGAGGGAGAAAGGAGCCGGGAGGGAGAGAAGAGAGUAAAAAAAAAGAAAGAAAAGAAAAGAGAAAAGAAAGAAAAGGAAAAAGGGAAAAGAAAAAGAAAGAAAAAGAAAGAAAGAGGAAGAAAAUAAAUAGGCAUUUGAGUAAAAUUUAGAGGUUUAGAAAAUUUAAAAUAAUUAGAAUUUAAUCGUGGAUUAAUUAUAGUCGUAAAAUUGCGAAAUUUAAUUAUAUUUUGGUAGCCUCUAUGAGUAAUCAAUUUGCGGUAGGAAUUUAGAUUUAUUUAAGAACUAAAAUAAAGGUGUUGAAUUCUUAGGAAAAUUACUUAGGAGACACAAAAUGUCUUAGGUUGAGGAAUAGUUCUAUUUCGCGAAUAAUAUAGUGGAUAUAACAAUCGACUCUCGUGCUCGCUUUUUGAUUUGGUCUUUAUUGGAUUUUAUUUGAAUUCGGAAUUCAAAUCAAUUCUUCGCACGUACUUGUAGAGCCCGAGGGAGUUGCGGAUCCGAGCGAAGGUCAAGACCCGCAAGACUUUGAGCAAGGCAAGUCAUCACUAUUCUUUGAGCAUAUUGAUCCCGAUUGCAAAAUUUAUUUUGUUUACAAAUAAGAUUGGAUGUGAUGAUGAACAUUCCACUUGUGAACUAUGCCAUGCCUUGAUUAUUGUUCAUCUUUAAAUCUUUGUAACCAUAAAUACGUAUGAGUCCCUAGUCAACUAUGACACUUGCUUAGAAAUGCUACUCUAGAUUUAUGCAUGCUCAUACUUUAUUAAAUGCUAUAUGCUUGGGCAAUUACCUUUGGGAAGUUAAUUGAGAUGCGGCAUGUGGAGACAUGAGCGCCACAUUGCCAUGAUAUGAUGACAUGAAUUAUGAAAAUAGGAAUGAAAUUAAACACUUGUUUUAGACUGGGGCGGACGGUAAUAUUGGGUGAUAUCUGGGAAAGGCUAGUACCGUCCCCGGUCAAUUAAGGACCGAGCCAUGAAGUUAAGCAUGAAACGACCCUGUACAACCACACUUCUCGUAUGGGGAUAGACCUAGCGGAGUAAAUAGCUGAGCGGAGGCAGUAUCCUUGCAUAGUGGUUUCUUGAUGUUUGAGGAUGGGGCUCUACAGUGGUACCGCCAUUGGUAGGACUGCCAUAUGAUAAUUUAGACAUAAUUAUAACUUAAUGCAUGUGCGUGAGUCUUCCCUUCCCGGGUGCGCCAGAACUCCUCUCGCUGCUAGAAACUGUGUACGCCUAGAGUGCAUGAGGAUGAAAAGUUCAUAGAGCGGAUACUGCCGAUGCCAGGUUAUCGAAAAGCUUUGCCGUGACACGUCUCAUGUGUUGGGACGAGGCUCAUGUGUUGGGCAGUCGCGGAGUGCGGGUAAAGUGUACAUCCACUGUAGUGUGAGUAAAACAAAUCUAUUCGAAUAGCCGUGCUCGCAGUUAUUGAGCACCGGGACAUGUAUUACACUUAGCUAGACUCUAAAUUCUUAACUUGUGUGGAAUGGGAUAUUGCAUGAUGAUUUUUAUGCUGUUGGAGCCACUUCCUGAGAGGAGGGAAGGUGGACAUCCUCAGAAAACCAUGACAACUCAAUGGCGGGAAGCUAUCCUUGGGAUCACAAUGGAUGGUGGACAGCACCAUCGUUGUUUAAAUAUGAACACUGGUACUAAAAUUUGCUCAGUCAAUGCUAGGUCUUAGGCUUGUGAAAAGAAUUACAAAACUUGCUUUGCGCAAAAGAACCAUAGCCAUCCUUUGAAAUACCCCUAUCAUGUGCAUUGUUGAUGUGAUGGCUUGCUGAGUACGGUUGGUACUCACCCUUGCAAAUAUAAACUUAAUCAGAGGCCGGAGAUGAAGCUUCGGAGGAUCCCUGUGCCUAUUACCAGGAGGGUGAUGAAGACGAUGGUGCUCAAUAGGUCUUAGUUACGGUCGUUGCCUGUGGCAAUGGCGUGCCGCUGCCUUAACUCUGCUGCCUUAUCUACCUCUGUUUUUGGGAUGUACUCCGGACCGCUCGGUUCGAUGAUUUAAGACUAUGCCUGCGGGCUUAUGAUGUAAUAAUUUGCACUAGACUCUCGUGUAUGUGCAUAUGGUAUUUCAGCUAUAAACUCGUGUGUACCAGACUACUUGAUCCAGGGAAAUGGUACUGUUUACACGAUUGAUUCCUGUUAUAAAAACGGGGGUCCACAAUUUUUUUCUAAUUAGUAGGGUGAUUGCUAUUUGCUAAUCAUAAGUGGGGCCCAUAUCUCUCUCCUAUCCUUCUUCUUCUUCCUCACGCACGCGCCAGAGUAGAGGAACGGCGCGCGGCCGGCGCGACGACCUGAGCCAGGACGGCUCGGCGUGCAGCAGAAAAAGCGGCGGCGCUCCGCCAUGGUCUCACCGCCGGAGCUCGUCCCUUACUUGACCAGAGACGGGACAAAGACGGGACGGAGAAGCGCGGGUGGGUCAGGAUGGCCGUCGAUGCCUUGGCUGCCGUCUUGUCCGCGGAUGGGGUAAACGAAGAUACCAAGGAAGGUCUCAUCGAUGCCCUCAUAGCCGGCGAUCUGGGCCCCAUCAUGAACACGCUCAUCGCAGCUGUUCCCAGAUCUGGUAUGGGUCCUCAAGGACGCCGGCAAUCUGCUGCAUGGCGGCAACCGUGCAGGUGCGAGGCUGCCCAGCUCGCUCGUAGAUGGUCCGGCCAGGCGCCAUCCCGACGCUCGCGCGAGUUCACCGUGGGAGACGACUAGAGGAUGAGAGAGGCAGUGGCAUCCGCGCCGGAGGCCGUGGGAAAGUUGCUCGUGUGAUGCAAGGACGACGACACUGUACAUGGGCCCACAUGUCGGCUGCAUCGAGAAGAGAGGGGCAUUCCUGUCAUUUUGAAAAUUUUCUUCCCUCUUUCGGCAUGGAAAUUAUAAAAUAAUGUCUUCGGUGUCCUACAACCAAUUACACAACUUUUGUAGUGUCCAUCGGCAAUGCCAAGUUUUACAGUGUCCCUUAGCCAAUUACUCGAUUUUUGAGUGUCCUGUAGCAAAUUUUGCCCAACAUAAAUGGUUUAGCAUUUGGUAUACAGGCUACAUAAGUGCACGACCAAACAUAAUGGACUUCGUUAGACCAAGAGAUAAGUACUCCUUAAUUCAGCUCUUGAAUGUGCUAGCUAUGAUUGGCUGUGUACAUCCUUCGGGAUGCAGAGGCCGGGUUUUAUUUAAUCCAUUAUGUAAAAAUGUGCUAUCUAUGAUGAAGACCAGCUCACGCGCAUUUAGCCUUCAAGUCUGCAAGUGUGUUCUUGUCAUAUCAAUGUGCACAUUUAGCAUUCACUAUCUUAUAAAAACACAAAUACACAUGAAUUUUCGCAAGACAUUAGGCCUAUAGAGUAGUUUUUUAGAUUUGACAAAAAAUAGGUCAGGCCCAAUGUUACAGAUUCAGAGAUUCCUUGCAGCCUGUGAGCAGGAUAUUGAAGAUGGAAGGGUUGUGCCCAACAUCUGUUCCUAGUGUAGGGCUCCUAAUUAAGUUUUGUUUGGUGAAAAACAAAAGCCACCUAAAUGUCUUUGUAUGUGUCUUUUCCUUAUACUUUUUGUAAUGCACGUCUGAUGUUUGGUAAGUUCAAUUGCAGAAAAUAGAUUGUUGCAAAACGAACGUCACUUGUAUUUUCUUUUCCUUAAUUAAGUUAUUUAAUUACCAAAUUGCUUAUGUAUAUACAUCCAUGAUUAAUUUUUUUUUUGCGGGGAACAUCCAUGAUUAAUUUGUGUGCGCUUAUUUGUGUUGUAGGUUAAUCUUGAAGGAUUUGGCCGGGCUGCGGUCACCUGUAAUCUGUAUUUUUAUCUUUACCUAGCUACUGGUCUUUGAAAUAUUAAAAAAAUAAAAAAACAUGAAAAUUAAAAAAUAUAUAUCAAAAAAUGGGAAAAUGUAAAAAAAAGGUUAUAUUUUCUUUAACUCUUGUAAAAUACAUUGUCAUGUUUUCUUAGAUGUGUGUGUUUCUUUUCUUUUUAAUUGUUUUAUUGUAGGAGUGUAUGUAACUCCGCCUAUGUCAUCUUAAGUUUAUCUAAAUGAUAUAGCCGGUCCCAAGCCCGGAAAAAGGAGGAGGGUAUAAUCUUGUAUAGAUGUUGGUUGAAAUGAUGCUCUCCUGCUACAUAGUGGAUCAUUGGGAUUUUUUUGUACUUUUAUCAUAUUAUUUUCAUUUUCAAUGAUGGAAUAGUUAUGGAGACACUUCUGUAGACUCAUCCAGUCUUAUUGCUCUGUUGGACACAUCUGAUUCUAAACUAAGCUUGACCAGACCACCAGAUCUGAGAGUUACGUUGCAAAUUGAGAUAGACAAGUAGGUAAAGGAAAUUCAGUGCCAGGCAUGACAAGAGGCAGGGCACCCCAGAUAAGGUGUGCAACGAGACAUUCGAGUCUCUGAGCUCAUAUAUGCCCAAAGUCCUGAACAACUCGAUACAAUUUUGCUACAAGAUCAAAUCAUAACGGCUAGAUCAAGGUAAGUUCUAUUUUUAUGUCGGUUUGGCCGAUCUAGCUAAUGAAUUGACAAAAUAUAAGUACAGUUACAUACCCACUAAUCAAUAAAGACAUCCCCAUGCUAAAACAAGUAUGAAAGAAAUGUGCAUAUCCCUCAGUAUCUAAAAGAAAAUAGUUUUAAGUUUUAGCCUAUAAGUUUAUCCCACAAAGAUUAUUUUUACAGUGAGGUUCACUAGAUCUCUUUAAUACUACUUUAUAUUUUUCUCCCUCCUUCUCUUUUUUUUCUCCUCAUUAAUAGAAUACAAUGUUCUUUUAGCCUCCUACUUAAUCUAUCUUUGAUAGCUAAAACUACAUUGUUUUAGAAACGGAGGGAGUAUGUGAGUGACAGGUUACAACUUACAACAAUCAUUGUCUGAUGUGUCACUUGCUUCGGUUCACAAUAGGCUGUGAACUUUAUGUGUUGCUUCGGUUUGUUGUUCCCCUAUUGUUUUGUUGCUAGCUGCUAUGCUUGUCAUCAGUUCCUGUGAUGAACGUGGCGGUCUGAAACUCUGUAAGCCUGCAGGUCUCACUCUCUGUCUCUCCUCAUUCCUGAGUCCUGACAGCCUGUGGCCCAUUUCUGCAUUUAGUCCUAAUUAAUGAAUUUACCUAGCCAGUUGACACCAUCAGGAGGGAAAAAUACUGAAGACUCUGUGAACCCUGCAAUCUAGUAGUUUACAUGUUUAUUCAAAUGAGCAAAUAUUCAACUCCCUCAUGGACUCUGAAAUAAGAAUUGAGUUUUGCAUUCAUUUCUUGUGCUCUUCAGUUAUUCAGUUCAGUUCUAUAUAGUGUCAGGACUAUCAUCUGAACUGUUUCGGGUUCAUGAACAAUAACUGUUAAGUCCAUCUAAUAAGUUCAGUUAUUCUUCCCCUGAAUGACUAAUGCAGCAAAGCAAAGCAAUGCUGAAUCGCAUCCAGUUUAUCUUAAUUUGGGUUCCUGUGCACACAAUUUGGGUGAACUUGUAAAGUUCAAAUGCCAAAUGUGAUUAGAAGCACAUUUAGUUAGUUGCUGAUGGAGGUGUAUAGGGCUUUUGUAUGUAUGGAUUGUGGUAAGGCUUGUCAGAAGUUGUAAUUCCUACCUCCAGUUUCAGAUACAUGGCAGAAUUUCACCUGAUGGCAUUUGAUCGUUAUGUUCAGAGAUGCUCAGUUGCUCACUACUGAUGCUGUAGAGCUCACUCCCCCAAAUUUGCAACCCUCUCAUGAACUCUGAAAUUAGAAUCGAGGUUUGUGUUCAUUCCUGUACACACUUGAGCUAUUCAGUUCCAAUUUUCAUCUGAAUCGUUCUGUGUUCAUCUACAAAGCAAAGCACAUCUAGAGCGCAUCCAGCGAUGAGAAGAGAAAAGGGGAGGAAAACGAGAGGUUCGCCCCAAGAUCCGGCCGAGCCUCGUCGAACAGCUUCGCGCUCCGCCACCUAUCUCCGGCGCCGACGACGUGGGGCUCGGCGGGGAUUUACCUCGUCAGAGAGCUCGUUCGCUUGCCGUCGUCGCAUCAACGGCAAUGCAAACAUAUAAUGUCUCCCUGACUCGUGGGGCCCACUUGAGGGCAAGAACGCAACAAUGACGCGUGUCUCUCCUGCUUGAGAACUAACCAGCAGCCGCUCGCCGGAGCUCCUGCCGGAAACCCCAAAUCUCGGCGCCCGUAUCCGGAGGCGGUUCGUGUCCCGUUGGUUCUUGGAGACUUGGACUCCUAUCCUCGUUCAGAUCAGGGGCGCUGUUCAGUUCUUGUUUAUCCAGCAGGGCGCACCGAAAUUUGCAGAGGAAUCUCAAUCUCCAAACUGGUAGGAAGAGAUUUUGGUCGAUAGAAGUAGAGUUCUUGUUUGUUCUUUGGUCUGUAGAGUUCACUAGUUCAGAUAAUCAUGUCAUCAACACCAUGAAUUGAAAGAGAUGCUGUACUGCUGUUUAUUGUGUUUACUGUUUAAUUCGUAGUAUCCAUCAAACCUGUAUCUGUUUGGGAGAAUGUUCGAUCAAAUUCAACUCAUGACCAAAUUCGUGUUAGGCAAAUAUUCACAUUCAAUCUGUUACUUCCUCCGUUUUACAAUGUAAGUCAUUAUAGUAUUUUUCAUAUUCAUAUUAGUUUUAAUGAAUCUAGAUAGAUAUAUAUGUCUAGAUUCAUUAACAUCAACUAGGAAGGAAGCCCGCGCAUAUGCGCGGGCAAUUUAUUUAUUGUCUAUAAAAAGAAUAUUAAAAGAAGCCCUAUCACACUAUAUUCACUGUAAGAAAUAGAUCAUAGAUUUUGAUAGUACUAAAUGAUAAGAAUGUGUAUCAUAUCCAAACAAAAAAUCACUUUGUUCCGGUUAUAUGUAAAUUCGCCUAUCACCCCUACUUAUUAUUAUUGUCUUGGAAAUAUGAGUAUCUUUUUAAUAGAUAGAAUUGUAGUUAUACCUAAAAGUAAACCCAAUACACCAUUAAUGCCAGAAAAAGUUAAAUCUCCACAUCAUACCCAAGUGCCUAUGUCUCACAUGUGUCCAAAUCUAUAUAUAAAUAUUUAAAAGUACUGCUUCUACCAAUUAAUAGGAUAAAACCGUUUAACUUAUAUAAGAAUGCCUCUCUAACGAUCGGGUGAAGCCGACUAUAGCCGUUAAGGUUUUUCUUUAAUGCCUUAAUUCAUGGUCUCGUAUUGAUAUAGUCGUGCUCCUCAAGUAGGCCAGUUAAGCUCUAUUUUCAAUGGUAACCUGUAAAAUCGGACCACCUCAACCGAAUAAUGCAUACUCCUGCAUAGUUUACUACAACGUAGCCAAUUGAGAUUCAUGCUUGGCACCCUUUAGGGAAUGAGUGAAAAAAGAUGGAGGUAAUGAAAAAAAAGGUUUUUUUGUGUCUUGAGUUGAUUUAAUGUAUAGAGUAGACAUAAUGUGUUUAUGAUGUUAAUCAAUGGUACUAAAUUUUAGUAGUAAAGACAUAUUGUUUAAAAAAGAUUAGUAUGGAUCAUUCGACUAUCUAAUAUCUUCAGUGGCGAGGAUCACAUAAAAAAUAUAUGCUCUCACGAUGAUCAUUUGCUAACAUAUGGUUUUGAUAUUUUUUUUACUUGUAUUAUACAUCUAAUUCACCUAUGCAUGUAAGUAGGGUUUAAUAUGCGUUGGAAUUUGUGCUAAUUUGUUAACACUAUUUGGAUGAGACCAACAAAAAAUAGAUAUAAUGUAGUUACGUGUAUGUUUUUUUUUUGGGGGGGGGGGGACAGUAGUCUCUCGUACAUACGUUUGUUUUUCUUUUUUUUGGACAAAAUUUUUUCUAAUGUAGGGAUAGGGUGUACGCAUGUGUACUCCCAGUGUGCUUCUGCACAUAUUUAUAUGAGUUCAUAUGAUUGUCUUUUAAAUUAUUAGUAAAAAGAAUACUUUCGAGAAAAUCAAUGGGAAGAGAGUGGAGCAAAGGGUGGCGUAAGGCAGUUGCAUAUGGCAUGGCUUGUUUUACCACCUCAGUAGGAGUAGUUGCUACAUUUAUAUACCCUCAAUUUGGGAAAAUCUUAGAGCUGGAAAGAAAGAGAAAACUACCAGAUGGGACGGAUAAUAUACACACUCUUUUUUUUCUUUUUAUAUCUCUUAUCUACAUACUUACGUAGGAGUUGUGUACGUACGUAUGCACAGAACUAUACGGUUUUUAGCACAUAGGGAUUAGUUUAGUAUAUCUAAUUUAAUGGUUGAAAAUAAUGGAUCAUUGAUUUAAUUGUAAACUGAUGGAUAAAUAUUUUACUUUUUUAUAUAAUUUUUCAUAGAUUCUCUCUAAUUUAUUAGAGCAUCACGUGGCAUCUUAGGAGUAUUUGUAGAAGUGUAGGAAUAGUAUUACUCAUAGGUGUAAUGUACUUGUAGUCCACUAUUGUUUGUAGUAUAUUGUUUUUAUAUUCUAUUUACCUAUAAUUUGUUGAUGGUUGCGCACUUAGUAUCACCCUUUAUCUUCGGUGUUGGAUGACACACGUGCUCAUUAGAUAUCAGCUAUCGUUUGGUGCAUUGUGCAUGGAUAUCUCGUAAGUAAUAUUAUUUAGCGAUUUGUGGACAAUGGCUUGUAUAUAGAAUUAUAUAUGGAGAUAAGUGAGGACAUAUGUUCGAUAUUUUAGGUUAUGAUUAACCAAGAAUAUUGUAUACUACAUAUGUUUAGUACCCUAAGUAACAAAUUUAAGAUUGUGUUCUAAAGUGCUUAUCAGAUUGGCUACUCUCUUAUUUAUAUUGAACAUGUUUCCCGAAAUUGCUAAACAUGUUUCCUGAAAUUGCUAAACAAUAUAUUAUAUGGUGCAUGUUUUGCAAAUACUUUUUAUAUAAAAGUUUUUUUUUAGAAAGAUCAACUAAAUUUAUUUUUGCUUUUUAAUAUUUAAUACAAAAUUAAACAUGUGCUAAUGACUUGCAUUAUUCCAAGUGCCUACAUAAACUCACCCAAUAAGCUUGAUCUAACGAAGUUUAAAGUAGGAGAUAAAGGACAACGACACGAUGUAAAAAUAAUAUAUUUGAUAUUUAAUUUCUAAUAAUAUAUAAAUAAAGAAAAAACAGUACAUAAUAAAUUUACUAACCUCAUUUUAAUAUAUUAGUUUUUUUUACAGUAUGGAAUGAGUAAUUUUUGAGGGUGCUAUUUAUAACUGGGUUUUUUCAUUUUCAAAACGCAGGUCUAAUAGUGUACUUCCUCCGUAUAACCUUGUAAGACUUUCUAGCAUUGCUCACAUUCAUUUAGAUGUUAAUGAAUCUAGACAUAUAUGUGUUUAGAUUUAUUAACAUCUAUAUGUAUAUAGGCAAUGCUAGAAAGUUUUACAUUGUGAAGCGGAGAGGGUACAUGUUAUGUUUUUUUCUUUUUCCGGGGGUACGUACGUGUGUGUGUUUUUUUCUAUAUAGUAUUCGUAUGUGACUGGGUACGUACAUAUUUUCUUUUUGUCAAAUAGUGUACGUGUUAUGGUUUUUUUUUCUUCUCCGCCGGCAUGAGAAGUGAAAGAAAAGCGUACACACACAAAGGGGAAACGGAGGUCAGAUGGAUACGUGGAUAGUACGUACGCUACGGAGGGAUCAUACUUGCGUUGGACGGAUGGAUCGAGAUUUUGAUUUCCUUUUAAGAUAAAUCUAACGAUCAAAAUUAAUGGGUCCAUCAAUUUAAAGGAAAAUCGACGGUCAGAUUUCUCUAUUUUAAUAGAGUGACAUGUGGCGACUCGAGAGCGUUUAUAGGAUGCCACAUGUCGAUUUAGGAGCGUUUGUAGAAAGUUUAAUGGACUUAAAUCUAACGAUCAAAAUUAAUGGGUCCAUCAAUUUAAAGGAAAAUCGACGGUCAGAUUUCUCUAUUUUAAUAGAGUGACAUGUGGCGACUCGAGAGCGUUUAUAGGAUGCCACAUGUCGAUUUAGGAGCGUUUGUAGAAAGUUUAAUGGACUUUUAGUAUAUAAUAGAAGAUAGAUAGAUAAUAGAUAGAUAGAUAGAUAGAUAGAUAGAUAGAUAGAUAGAUAGAAGAUAGAUAGAUAUGAAUGUGGGAAAUGAUAGAAUGCCUUAUAUUGUGAAACGGAGGGAGUAAUACGUUUAACUGCAGUUCUCAACAUCUCUCGAUCGACGAGCAAGCUGUGGCUGCUGCUGCAAUUCGGCCUGCAAUUCAAGUGCAGCAAUAUGUUGUGUGCAAUUUGUGCAUUAGUGCACAAGUUGAGAAUGGUAAUAUUAUUUCACUCGGAAGAGAUGGAACAGUUGUGAAAUGCAGAACCACUCGGUUCAGAGAAUAGUCCUGGACAAAAGGACAGAAAAUGGUCCAAUGGUGACAAUUGAUCAUUUUUACAGUGAAUGGUGAGCAACUGAUCAGCAUCGACCAUGGUGAAGCUGAACCUGAUAAGUCGACAGCACUAGGGGUGAUGAUCCUAGCCACCCAUAAAUCCUUUCUUGUAUAUUUCCUAACAUAUAUAAGUCAGCAAGUCAAAUGUUCUUAUCGUUUUCUUUAGUCGAUGGUUCAUCGAUUCUGACAUCAAGACAAGAAGCCAACAUACUGCUAGCCAUGUUCCUUUCCUCUUGGCUCACAUACGGCCAUUUGAAUGGAUUAGAUUCAGAAAUAAUACAAUAUCUCGUCUUUCUUUCUUAAUUACUUACAUGAGUUGGCCGGUGCGCAACUCUGCCGCCGGCUACCGCCUGCUGCGCAGAGAUGCAAGUGGGUAGUCCCGCUACCCGUAUAAAAACCCGCUUGCUAGUAUAUUUUUCGUAUGGUAGUACGAAAUUUAGAAGAAAAAAUGAACUAGAAGUAGGAUAAGCGGGACAAAAAAAAAAGCCCGCUUGCCCGGCCCGCUUGCAUCCCUAUGCUGCGCGCCAGGUUGAGCUCCUCGGCCGCGAGCGUGCCCCGGGUCCACUACGCUGCAGCUCUCCCUCCGCUCGCGCCUUCCUUCGUGCCCGAUAGAUGCGACCGCGCCCUCUGGACUCCCUCACCCACCUCCGUGCCCCACGCCGGUCAGGCGGCCAACACGCGCCUCCUCCGCCAUUGUCGACGUUUGAUGUCGCGAUUCCGGUAUUUGCAUAGUAUGGGGAUCGUUGGUACUAGGAUAUACGCGAGACUGAGGUAAAAGAGAUGGGGACGAGGAUUUUUAUAUAGGUUCGGGCCCCUGAAUUGUCAGGUAACAACCCUACAUCCUGUUGGCCGAAGCCGGUAUUACUCUUAUUCACCAUAAUCACACCAGUAUAAUAUGUGGGGUAGCCUAUCUAAUUGUUGUCGACAUGGCGGUCUGAAGGUCUGACUCGUAGUCGACAACAGGGUAAUCUUCCUCCUCGAAUCCGUGCCCGGCGAGAUCAGAGAUAGCGCUUUCGUCUCUCCCGACAGUAUCCGGAGACACCGUAGGGGACUAGCCAUGCUUAUCCCUGAAGUUGAUAUCCAACGUCUUGUCUUGGCGUAUGUUGGCUUGUAUGUUGUGGCUUCUGUUGUUCCGUGUCCCCUCUCCUCCUAGGGGGCCUUGUAUUUAUACCCAUAGGUGUCUCCUUGUCCUAGUAGAACUAGGGAAACCAAUAUGGAUAUAGUCCGAGUAAUCCUUGUCGUUUCCAUGUAGAACUCUGGUUGUCUUUCCUUAUCCAGAACUCCCUCCAUAUCUGAAGUCAGUUUCCGUAUUAGACAUGGUAUGUGGUGGGUCCUGCCGAGAUGUAGUCGACUACUAUUAGGUAUGUGGUAUCCAUAACCCUGAUAGUAGCCCCUGACUUCAAUGCAAAUGAACGAAUUCAUAUUCUCGACCACUGACCAUGGAGUAACUGUUAUCGAGCUCAAGUGACCAUUCUCGGUGAGUUCAGAGAUAACGUUAGACUUCCUUUAUCAGCCUCGUGCGGGCACCUAAAGGGUUUGUCUCAGUCCAUCUCCAACGUCAACCAAGAAAGUACAGAACAUUCGACUAAGUCUCCCGUCUUGCUGUAAUCGAGAAUUUGGAUUGAAGUCAAGAAAUUUUAUCUCGGCGGGUACACCAUCUCUUCAAUCCGUAUUCCUUGCCGAGAUCCACCAACUGUUCUCGAGCGAUCGAGAAGGCGUAGAAUCUGCGACGGAGCCUUGUCAACAUUUGUCGUACUCGCCUUAGUCGAUCUUGGUGUAGAACCAUAGAGACAUGGAGUCUUCCACAACGUCGAAUAGAAUUUUCCUGAAAUCAAUACUCAGAAAAGAAUAUCAAAUAGAAAUAGCCCCCGGGCGAACGCUCAAAGGGUGACAUGUUAUAGUAUGUAUGGAAAACUGAAAAUGAGUUAAAUUUACAGACCAAUGUUUUGUAUAUGAGCGCCUUCUCUCUUACCGACUUCGAUCAGUCAGUUUGUUGAGUCAUACACUCUCCCUAGCCCCCAGCCUUGUCGUCGGAGAAUCGUUCUCGGAGGAGAAGGCUCUUGGACCCUUGACCUGCCUUGGUUGAACAAGCACUAAUUCUAGCCCCCAGUCGUGAAGUUGGAAAAUCCAAUUUCCGAUUACACGGCUUGGUUAAUACGCACGGCGAGAACUCUUACACGACCAGAUCUUACGUGGUCUUUUGUCUCUACAGGAUCCGACAAGGCCUUAUCGGCUCUAGGCGCCCCCAGCCAAAGUUCCCUUAGGUUCCUCGGAGGCCUUGUCAAGACGGCGUAAAGGGACAUGAGGAUAGGUUUCAAUGCUAGGUGUCGUCAUGGUAAGGGAUCUCUAGGUAAAACACUUAGCAAUAUUGUGUAUCUGAUAUCAACUUUGUUCGAGUAGAGGUAAUGGGAGAAUCGCUACACCGUUGGUCAAAAACCAGUUGUAGCCCCAACUCGACCACUUGAAACAAAGGUAGUGGGAGAAUCGCUACACCGCUGGUCGAGGACCAGGUAGUAGUCGUAACUCGACCACUUAAAAGUGGAAAUAGUGGGAGAAUCGCUACACCUCUGGUCGAUAACCAGGUAGUAGUCUUAACUCGACCACUAGAAGUAAAUGUACGAGAGAUCGCUACGAUUAACUGGUUGAGAACCAGUGAGUAGGUGUCUCUCGACCAUUUGGAGUUGGUACGAGGGCCGUUAUGCUACCGGUCGAAGACUAGUCGUAGCUGUCCCUCAACUAUCCGAAGUCAUCUGAAGUCGUGGUGCGAGGACCGUUACGCUAUUACCAUAGUUGUACCUCGACCAUCAGGAUUUAAGGCACGAGAGAUCGCUACGUCCUACUGGUUUGAGAACCAUGAGUAGAAUUAUCUCUCGAGCACCAAUGGAAGCUGCGGUGCGAGAGAUUGCUACGGUUUACAGGUUCGAGAACCAGCGAGCGAGUAGAAUUAUCUCUCGAACACCAAUGGAAGUUUGCGGUGCGAGAGAUUGCUACGUACUUGUUCGAGAACCAGCGAGCGAGUAGAAUUACCUCUCGAGCACCAAUGGAGGCGCUAGAGUUGGUUUAUUACAUGUGCAUCUCAUGUGGCCAGCAUGACUCACAUACCCAACUUAUAGCAUAUCCGGAUGUCCGUUCGCAAUCAUGUCGGGUGAUCAAGCCGACGACGUUCGCGAGGAAUUAUCCGUUAACAACCUUUUCUCGAGUAGCUCAGCCAUGGCUGGUGUCGCGACCGAGAAAAUUACCUUUUCCCGAACGCUAGUGUAUUAAUCCCCGUCCCAGGAAAAGCCGGGGUACACCACACAAACAUGAAACAAAAGGCACAUCUUUAUUAUAUCGAUAAUAUUUACAUUAUUACAAAGGCACUUCAGGCAUGACAAACAAAAAUAAACAGCAGCGGACUAGCGGGCCUACGGCUCCAUCUUCACAGGCGCUCAACUGGGGUAUAAGCCAGGACUCCACCUAAGACUUCUUCUCCAAAGCUUCUGUUACUGAAGGGGGAAAGAUUGAGCAAGAAUGAGUACAACCACAGUACUCAGCAAGUCACACCGGAAAUGCAUAAUUAAUGCAAGGGGGUACAAGGGGAUAAUAAUAUAGGGGUUAAGUUUUGCAGUAAACAGCAUUUAAAAGUCAUUUAGUUGCCCAAAGCCAUUUUAUAAAGACGAUCCUAGAGCUACACAGUAUUAUUAAUCAAGGCCGUGAACCCACACGAACCUGCCUUAACCCAAGGCCUACGAUGAUUCAGACCGAACUGGCAACCCGACCCUGGGUCCCAGCUCGUCCCAAGCCAACCCAGGCCAAUCAUUCCACAUUUUAGUUAUUAAGCAGGUUUUAAGAAUUUAAAACACUAACUUGGGUACAUUGCUAGGCUUGCCCAUAACCGAGGGCGCGGCUAUUCGAAUAGGUUUUACUCUGAUCAGAGGUGUACAUCUUUACCCACAAGACACGUCUUCCUCACGUGCAACCACGUGCCACAUACCACCACGGCAUAUGGACGGAAGACAUGACAUAGUUUCCAACCCAUCCUAGCCAUAGACAAGAGUACCGACCCAACCCACCUACGGCCGGAACCCCCGGACAGGCAGGCAGAAUUGAGCCCCUAGCAGCAGGACACCAGCCCUGUGCCAUGACAUCUCGACUACCGGGCCGCAGCCCGUGUAGCCUUCAUUUGUCCUAGAGAUGUCCAUCGACCCCCGACUUUGUCCAUCUCCAUCCGUGUACUUUUGUUUAUAACCAGACUGAGCCACAAACUAAGCCUUACCCACUUGACAUGUGGAAGUACGGUAGUGCUUUGCAACAGAGGCCCGAAGACCGAGGUGCUGCUAACAAAACCAUGCACCCCGAGCCCAGCCUAAAACCAUUUUGAGGGUUUUGAAUAGAGGGAGAGGUGUGCAUCCAAUUCCACAAUAAUCCAACCAUUCCAUAGUGUCCAAGUGACAUGAAUAUUCCCAAAGUCUAGAGUUAUAAAACCACCUAAUGUUGCCUAGUUAAUCAGCGAAGCAUCUACCUAAAUUCAUACUAGUGGAACCAUGAAUAGAGUAUCCACUAGCUGGGGUUUUGUUUAUUCUAGGGUGAACAAGGUAAUAAUAACAAUAGCAAUAAUAAUGUCAUAACGAAGGUAAAUAGGCAUGGCUAAAUAAAACAGUGAUAACGCGGGAAUUUAAAUAAAGCGGUAAUGCAUUAAUUUAAAUCAAAAUAAUUUUAUAAACUGGGAUUCAAUAUGCUCAAGAAUAAUGUGACUUGCCUUGCUCAAAGAGAACGGCCUUCCGAACCUUCGGCGACGAUCGCGAACCACGCUUCGGGAACCUCCGGAACGACAGAAGCUACGCGAAGCACACAAGCAAAGCUACAAGCCUAUAAAGAAGCAAUAACAAUACAUAAAAAGAAAGCACACGGUUCUUUAGGUUAUAAUAAACAUUAGGAGACUUGAACGGGUCGAUUCAGAGUUCGUAUGACCAAGAUAUGAUCAUCCGAAGUUUAAUGCUGUUAUAUGGAGAUUUGCGGAUUAUUAUAAUUAGGCUUUGCAACUAUAAAACAUGUGAAAGCGCUAGCCUGGAAAAGACAGGAAGGCUGCGCUGUUGACAUGCGGACCCCACAUGUCAACCUAAAGGACCGCGGUAGACCGAGUACACAGAGACGGUCCACGGGUCGACGGAAGCGGACCCCGUGUGUCAACUGAGGCGAGUAGCCGACAAACGGACUCCACUAGACACCACGCGGGCUGCACACGUGGAAACCACGUGGCUACCGAGCGGGCACACUAACACGGACACUACACGGUCACUUCCCGCACACGUGAACGACUACCGACACCGGUACACGGGUACCGGGGUCGACAACCGCACAACGGGUACGGGGCGACAACGAAAGGACAAGGACGGGGCAGCGAGAGGACGGAUCCUUACCACCACACGACGAGGCGAGGGAACGACAACGACGAACGGGCGCGGCGGAGGCGGCCGGGAACGACGGAGACGAACGGCGAGGGGACGACUUCGGUGGCGAUCCUUGGACAAAGGCGAGACGCGGCCGGCACGAGGCUUGACGACGCGGAGCCGAGGACGAAGACGACGAUGGGGCUGCUGCACACUUGACGAAACGCGGGCGGCGAACGCGAUCGGCUUGACGGAGGGACGAACGCCACGACGAUGAGGACGACGAGAGGACGACGACGACGACGACCGGGGCCGGCGAGGAGACGACGAGGGCAGCCGGCGGCAGCUGCAUGGAGACGGGGACGACGGGGAACGCGCCGCUGCGAAUCCGACGACGGAGGCGGCGCCGCGAGACGACGAGCCGGCGAGGACGAAUGAUGACGACGACGACGAACACCGGCGGUGUUCGGGUGGAGGGGAGGCGAGGCCGAGGGCGACCUUGCCGCUAUGAUGCCGGAGGUGGUGGUGGCGCAGCGAGCCGACGAGCCGGGGAGGAGGAAGGGGCGGCCGAAGGGACGCCGGCGACGACGAGGAUGGAGAGGCCGGCGCAAUGCUUGACGACGCGGUCUCCGGACGAAUCAGAGGGCAGGCCGGGGUGGAGGUCGACGCGGCGACGCCGAGGGAGGAGACGGCGCGGCCGGCCCACACCUGAGCGGCGCGGCAGGGGCGGCUGGAGGCAGUACAGUGGCGGCAACGCCACUGGACGACGGCGGGAACGCGCCUCCGGCAGUCACCGCGCGAAACGGAGGGCAGGCUGUCGUAGGCUCUCCAGACCUUCCAUUAUAUUUGAGAGAUGAAGUGAAUAAUUCAAGUCAUCAAACAAGCAUAAUGAAACAUCCGACACCUCGAGAGAGGAAUAUUGGAGACAUUGCUGGGCCCUUAGCCUGCCAGUCAACUUCAGCCUGAGAUGUGCCCGUCAAACCACUCGAAGGCGGCGACCAGAUGUGUUACACAUUCAGGAGACUUGACAAAAAUGGCUAAAGAUCUACAACCUCUCAAAUAUUCCUAACUCAUACUCAUGUGAAUCUAGUUCCCAGGAUGUGCACUAGAUUCACACUUUCAUCUUAAGCAUGGUUACACAUAGCAAACACAACUAAGAUGAAAGAAACUUAAGACUUACAACAACUUAAUAAUUACAUAGGCCGACCGCCCAAAUAGACUUAUUAGAGAACAGCGGAAGCUUGACUACCCAAACACAAGCACACCGACUAAGGGUAUACCCCAUUAAGUUCUCAUCCUAGAAGAAGCAAUCGGAACCCGCAUCACUCAAAGACUAAGACUAAACCUGCAAACAAAAGGUUAUAUCAAACAGCAAGAGUCAGUACAUUAAACAAGUUAAUGUACUGGCAAGCACAAGUCAAUCCUACCAUACUACAUGUAAAGCAUAUAUUCAAAGGAAGACAAUAUGUAGCUCAAUUUCAGCAUAAAGCAAGUUUUGUUUCGCAAUUCUUUUGUAAAGAAGUUGAUGCUUCAAUUAACAAAACAAGUUUUAAGUUUUAACAUUAAGUUUAUCAUAAUUCCAUCAUAAUCAAUCUCUUGUUGUCAUCCUUGAACAACAAGUCAUAAUAUAUCAUCACACUCACACAACUCAACACGUUUUAUCAAUUUCAAAUCAAGUCACAUGUUCACAUUUUAAAUCAUAAAGCCUAUACUCAUGACACAUCACCAAAGCGCUCAUGACCGUGAGCACGGCUAAUCGAUUAGUUUAAAGAACUCUGCAGAGUUUGUACAGCUUUACCCACAUGAUAUGAACUCUCUAGUUUGUUUUGAGUUUGCAAGACUCCACCACACUCUUCAUGUUGAAUGUGAUCUAGAGGUCAUAACGAAGCCUUUACACUACUUAGAAUCUAGCCUUACACCAGCACGAUACGUGUUCCUCCAUCCUAGGCAUACUUGGAAAUAUGUCUAGAACCGUUAAGUGGCGGGCCCACGCCUUAAACUUAACGCCGUGGUGGCGGACACAACGGGAACCCACCCACGUGGCACAAUACCGUUGUAUUGGACAGACUUAGUCACCUAAACUACCACGUCGGGGCAAAUAGGAAGUUCCUCUGAAUCAUCGACUAAUUCCUCAUAAUUAUCGACUAACUCAUACACACCGGCCUACCAGAAUGCAAGGCUAGUCCUAAAUAGAUUAAUCAGCUUAGGCCAUCCCAUACUAGCACAUGUGGAUGUACGAAUAACUUUAAAUGGGUGACACAAGUUCGGUCCUUAUGGACUUGGGCAAACACUCCCCCUAUCGGUAUGCAACUAACACUAUAUGCACACCACUUGCUGCCCAAGUAUAAAAUCACAUUUUACACAUUUUAGUUCGCAAAUACCCAUCAUAUUCAUUUUAUUCCAGCAAAGGUUCAAGUAUCAAAAUCACAUUUUAAUUAUAGAUGGAAUGAACAUUUGCAUAUUUCUAAGCAUGGCUAAGCAAGUAAUUGCACAUAGAGCAUAUAUAAACCCAUUUGAGCACAAAGAGUGUACUCUAACCAUUUCUAGGGGUUCAAACAGCAAGAGGAUCAAUUAUUCAAGGUGGAAUAUGCAGCAAAUAGGUCAUAACUACCUUAACCCAAUUUCAAAUACCGAUAUAGUCUAAGUUCACAUGCAACUUUGCAAACAAAUAUUUUCAUUCCUCAAAUCAUGGGAUUCAAUGUGUUCAAAGGAUGGGAGGAGAAAACUUGCCUUGAUCAGAGAAUUGUUAGCACCUAAUCCACUCCUUCACCGAUUAUGCAAUUAUCUAGAUAAAGGACACGAUAUCCAAUUAAACACCGAAAGAGCUGAAAAUCCAAAAUGCUCUAAAAUGCAUGAUUUAUGCACAGUGGGUUGGUACUGAUCUAAAAUGAAUUUAGGUGAAAUAAUUCCUAUUUUAUUUUAUUCCAUUUGGGAGUUAUGAAUUUUAGAAGUUUUAUCGGUUUAUAGUAGUAUAGUCUUAGGUAGUGUUAUGAAAUACUUUGGUAAAGUGAUUUUUACUAGAUUAGACUUCAUAGGAGUGUGAAGUUGUGUUUUCUAAGACUAACACAUUUGGUUUCACAAUUUUUGGAGUUAUAAUGAUUUCUUUAUGCAUUUUACAAGUUAUAACGUGUUAUUGGUGUAUAGUGUUUUAUAUGUUCAUGACUUUUGAGUUAUAGGUUCAGAACAUGCUACUUCCUGUAUAAGUUGAAUAAAAGGAAUAAUUUGGUUAUCUAAAACAUUUUUAGUUCACAUGUUUAUGGUCUUUACUAGUAUGGUUCAUAUUUUAUAAACUAGAGAUGCUCUAAUCUAAACUAGCAAUAUAUUAUAUUAACCUAGAAAUUGUUAUAUGAGCUAAGUUCUUCUAAGUUUUAGUGGAUGAGGAUGGAACUAUGGCUUCACUGGUCAAUCAAGUUUUUAUUUAGGUUUAAUUAGACCUAAAGUGUAUAUAUAUACUUAUACAUGUUUAUGUAUUAAUUAAACAACACUAUGUGUUUAAAUUCUUAUUUCACUAAGUUAAGGUUUUGAUCAAUGUUCUCUACAGAAGGUGCCAAAUUUUAUUUUACUAUGUUGAAGAUAACUAUUUGCUGGUUCUAUAGAAACUUUGUUCAUUUCAUUUGGACUAAAAUGAAUUUUCUACAAGUUUUACAAAUUAAUGGCUGCUCUAUGUUAGUAAAUCCUUAUAUGAAUAUUUAGAGACUUUUACUACACAGCAAGUAUAUAAUAUUAUUUCAUAACUUGGAAAUACUUGUGUUAGUGAUCCUACAUAACUUAAGUUUAUUCAAAUUGAAGCUAAAUUGGGUUCUACAUGAAUUUCUAAAGUUUAGCUUAUCUAAAACUAGUCAUUUUAAAGAUAAUAGUUUUAGAGGCUUUUAAUGCAAAGUAAGUAAUUACUUUUAUUUCACUUAAUCAGAGAUUGUAUGAUGAUGAAUGAUGAAUCUGUAGAAUUUGAUUUUGUUUCAAAAUGAGUUGAAAUGAAUUUUCUAUGUAUUUUAUAAGUUUGUACAUGUUUUAUGCAUGACUUAUCUUAGAUAAAUCUUAGAGACAUUAUUUGUACAGUAAGUGUCAAGUUUUAUAUUCCUGGAAUAAAGUUCAUAACUUCAAGAAUCUACAGAAACUGGAAUCACUUCAAAAUGAGCUAUAUUUGAUUUUAUAUAGAUUUUACAACUUUGUGCAUUUUUCUGCUAAACAUAUAAUUGUUUGGGCAUUUUCCUAAUUUUUCUUCAGAUUUUAAAGGAUGGGUCCACAUGGCUGUGAGGGACCAAUAUGCACAAAGGCCCUUGAUGUUUCUAGGAAUCAACCCGCAGUCCUAGGCCCAUAUGUCAGUUACUAACAUUUUGCGCAAAAACCUCUGGUUUCUCGGGAAAUAGAUCCCGCAGUCCCCUAGUUUUAGGUUUGUAUGCAAAACAAUGCUUGAGUUUUAGUUUAUUUACAGAUUAUUACUGGUCCUACUUGUAAGUGACUGUUCCAGUUGUUAAUACAUCCCUGGGAGUCUUUAAAUUUCAAAAGCCAUGCCCUUGCUCUGGACAGAGCAGAGCAGCAGCACAGCCGUGAGCUUCACAGCAUCACCAGUGGCGAACAAUGGCGAUUCAGCUUAAGCUCCCAAAACAAAAAGUGUAGAGAACAACCGUGCGAACCUAUUGGUGGCUUUCUGGCAAGAUUUGGUGCUCUAUAGCGGCUGUUAGGGUGUUAGAGGCGGUGGCUAAGCUCGGCUUGCACAUGCAUGUGGGUUUUGAGGCUCGAUUUAAUCGUGCAUGCGUAUGAUAAGGACUCUAGGGACUACUAGGAGGCUCACCAAGAAUCAAACGCGGCUCGGCGAAGUCUUGGCGACGGUGUACUGGUUCGGCGACGGCGCAACUGCUACGGUCGUCGUCGACGGUGUACUCCCGGGCUUCUACUGCAUAUAGAGGGUGCAUGCUUCGGUUUAGAUCAGCACAAGGUAGCUCUAGGCGAAAAAGAUUGCGCCGAAGCUCACCAGAGAAGGAGAAAGAAAGGAAUGGCGGCGGCGGCCAGAGCACGACGGUGUUCCGAGUUGACGCGGUCGCGUUCCCGGAGAUUGGCUGCACUAAAAGAGGCGUUCUUGGUGGCGUUAGAGACGGCAUUGAGAGGGAAUUACAGAACGCUUAUUGAACGGAAAUGGAGCUCACCGGAUUUCGACGGCGUCGAGGACUUAUCUCACCGGCGCCGGAGUUGGCACCCCCGUUCCCGGCGAAUCUGAGGCGGGGUACCUCGGUUCUUCCGCGAAACGAGACAGGGGCGAGAGAGAGUGAGAGUUGGUCGGCCGGUCGGGUUAAGUACGGUCGCCGGCGGAGAUGGGGAGGAGGAGCUCGCCCUCUUCCGCGCUCAACGCGUGCUCACACGCGUGGCGCGCGGGGUCUGAGUCGUGGGCCCGUGUGGAGAGGGAUGUGAGGCUGACAAUGGGGUCCCACUAGGCAAGAGAGAGGUGUAGAAGGAGGAAGUGUUGGACAGGGCUGAACCUAGCCUAAGGCACUGACAAGUGGGGCCAACUCGAUGGAAACUAGGCCAGGGAGAGAGAUAUGGGUAGAAGACUGGUAAACUUGAUUUUUAGAUUAAUUUUCGGAAUUAUUUUCUCCUCUAACUUUGUAACUACAUAAUUCAAUGUGUGGACCAAAUUAAUUAGUGUUGAUUUUACUGGAGGUAAAUGAUUACACCUAGAUUCCAUUUUCUUUGGUUGCACUCAAAAAUAAUGGGUGGACUGCUCACAGAAAUUAAACAAAGAUGGGCUAUUAGAAAGCUAGAUUGAAUUUUUAGGAGGCUUAAACAGAGGAGGAAAAAUCUAGAAAAAUUACAUUUAUUCAUGAUAACUAAUCUAGUAUUUGAAUAAAUUAUUUCCCAUGUUCACUUAUGUGCAGUUAAAUGUACUUUUGGAUGAAAUAUGGUUUUAGCCGAUUAAAUUUAAUUUGUUUUCUUUUAGUUGUCUGCUUCAACCGAUUAAUUUGAGAUAUCAACAUGAGUGUUAACAUGUUACCAAAUUACAGAGGACAAGUUUGUGCUAAUCACUGUCCACAUAAAUUUUUCCAUGAUUUUAUCUUGCACAAAAUAUUUUAGAGAAUUAAGAUGACCUUUGUUUGUAUAUGUGUUCCCACUUCAUAAUUGCAUCUAAUAUUAUUAUAGGGAUUACAUUAAACUUCUUUUAGACUGAGAAGAUGAUAUUUGAGUUUAAUAUUAAGUCCAUAUGUUAUCACCCAAGAUUAACUAUAGGUUUGUUUAGUGAAAUAAUUCUUUUAGAUUAUGCUCAUGGGAUCUAUUAUGGAAUGCAAGACCAAAACUCCAAAUGCACAAAGAACUCGAGCCUAGGCAUGCAUUAUGUACAUGUAUGCUUGAUGACAUUUCUAGUCUAAUGUUGGGAAUGAAAAGGUUUUAUUUUGUUCUCAAAUUUUAAUCAUGCAAUGGUUUAAGUUGAUCAUCACCUAAAUUAAAACGGAAAUUUUUGGCUCUCGAAAUUUGGAGAAGUUAACCUCUAACUAUUUUGACAAGAAAUCUUAAGUCCUAAAAUUUCGGGUAUGUUACACAGGCCGGGGGAGAGGAGGCGGCUGCAACACCGGGGAAGGCGACGGCACGGCCGGCCGGCGCACGGUCGAGGAGGGAGAGGCGGUGGAGGCGCCCGGCGCGGAGGAAAGAGAAGGGCGACGGCGGGGAGGUGGCUAGGGACCACGGGAGAAUGCGGGAGGGGGCUAAAACUGGAGAACGGAUCGAGGGGGUUCCAUUUUAUAGGAGAGGAGAGGGAGCCGGGCACGGGAGAGGGCGGAACGGCGACGGGAAACACGGCCGGCGGCCAUGGAAAGCGGCCGGGGAAGACGCGGGCGUUCCCGGCGAUUGGGGGCACGAUUCAAGGGGGAAAUUGGGGGGAAUUGAAGAGGAUUCAAUGGGGAUUAAAACCCCCGAAUCAAUUUUGGAAUUAGCCAAAUGAAUCAAGCGGAUUUGAGGGAGGAACGGCGCUAGGGUUCACGGGAGAGGGAGGAGGCCGGCUGGGGGAGGAAGACGACGUCCUGGCGCGUGGGCCCCACGCGGGCGCGCGGUCAGCACGUGUGCAACGCACGUGCGCGGGAGGGGAGCGGCUCAGGCAGGGGCGCGGCGUGGGCCGGGCAGCCGGCCCAGGAGGAGAGGAGGGGAGGGGUGGCCCGGGGAGAGAGGGAGGAGGAGGGAGUGGGCCGGGGAAGGAGGGAGGGCGGCCCAAGAGAGAGAGAGAGGGGGAAGGAAAAAGAGAGGGAGGAGGGAAGGACUUCGGCCGCGGGCCGGGGGGAGAGAGGGAGGACUUUGGGCCAGACUUGGCCCAAAGGAGGAAGGAGGAUUAUUUUUAGGUUUUUCUUUUUAAUAAACUUUGAUAAUUGUUUUUGUUGCUUAAUAAUUAUUUUCGGUGCUCUGAAAAUUCAAGUAAAAUUUGAGGGCUCCUUUUAGACCAAAGAGAAUUUAACAAAAAUUCUCCGGGCCACAUUUGAAUUUUUCUUGUACGUAUUUUAGUGUUUGCCAAUUUCUUUUCGAAUUUUAAAUAAAUUCUAUUAUUCCUUUUAGAGAAUGAUUUUUAAUUCGGGAUGAAUUUAUCAGGACGUGACAGCUGGUGCUAUGAGAUAGGUCAUCGGUCUUCGUUGGUAGGUUGGGCGCGACGAUUCUGCAUUUGUCGAGAUCGUUCUCAAUAAUGGGGUGUACUCGACCACAACCUACUCGAGUGCUCAAUUGUUCCUGAAAAAUAUUUUCUAGAAGGCAAGAAAUAUAGCAGAGAAUAUCGAGUAUGUACUCAAAAAACUGCAUAAAUCUUCUAGUAUUAUCAGGAUAUAACGAGCAGAUGUAAAUAUCAGGCAUUACGUGAACCGUAAACAAGCUUGAUUUGUACAAAAUAAAAUAGAGCGAGCCCCCGGCAUUAAACCGUAGUCGGUUUAACAUCAGGGACACUCGCACAACAGAUAUUGUACAAAAAGCAUGCUCUAGGUAAACAUAAUUGAUCUGACAAUAUCUGAAAAUAGGUACGGUAAAUUGUAUAUAAAAUAUUGCGUACCUUUGUAGAUAUAUGCCGGAUAUAUCUACGGAAUAAGUAGAUCAAUUAAAUUAAUUAUUCCACUAAUUACCUUAAUUUUCCUUGGCCGGUCAAUGCACAGACCGUAGCUCUGUACAUACCAAUAUGCAUCCGUAUGCAUAGGCAUGUAUGUGUACAGCGUACAGGGGUGCUGGUCACGGUAGAGUGCAUCCGAUGCAUGCGAGGUGAAGUCGGGAUCUCGUCGGAAGACAUACUCCGGUCGGGUUAGAUCUUCCCACAGCCGAAGUUAUCGAGCAGCUUGUUGUUGGAGAAUCCAUCUCUUAAACCCAUCUCGUCGAAAUCCUGAAGCACCAAAAUCCCCCUACCUGGCGCGCCUCUGUCAACGUUUGAUGUCGCGAUUCCGGUAUUUGCAUAGUAUGGGGAUCGUUGAUACUAGGAUAUACGCGAGACUGAGGUAAAAGAGAUGGGGACGAGGAUUUUUAUACAGGUUCGGGCCUCUGAAUUGUCAGGUAAUAACCCUACAUCCUGUUGGCCGAAGCCGGUAUUACUCUUAUUCACCAUAAUCACACCAGUACAAUAUGUGGGAUAGCCUAUCUAAUUGUUGUCGACAUGGCGGUCUGAAGGUCUGACUCGUAGUCGGCAACAGGGUAGUCUUCUUCCUCGAAUCCGUGCCCGGCAAGAUCAGAGAUAGCGCUUUCGUCUCUCCUGACAGUAUCCGGAGACACCGUAUGGGGUUAGCCGUGCUUAUCCUUGAAGUCGAUAUCCGACGUCUUGUCUUGGCGUAUGUUGGCUUGUAUGUUGUGGCUUCUGUUGUUCCGUGUUGUCCGUGUCCCCUCUCCUCCUAGGGGGCCUUGUAUUUAUAUCCAUAGGUGUCCCCUUGUCCAAAUAGAACUAGGGAAACCAAUAUGGAUAUAGUCCGAGUGGUACUUGUCGUUUCCAUGUAGAACUCUGGUUGUCUUUCCUUAUCCAAAACUCCCUCCAUAUCUGAAGUCAGUUUCCGUAUAAGACAUGGUAUGUGGUGGGUCCUGCCGAGAUAUAGUCGACUACUAUUAGGUAUGUGGUAUCCAUAACCCUGACAGUCGCCCAUGUAACCCUAGCCGCGCGUGCGUGUGUGCUGUGGGGAAGCGGCACGCGGGCGUGUAUUGGUAAAUAACAGUGGCAGAUAAGUCUUCCCUCUCUAAAUUUAUUUUUUUAUUUUCUUCUAAAUCUAUUCCUCACAGUGUGAAUACAAUAGGGCUAGACGGCCACUUCGAUUUUGAAAAAGAGGGUCAAAUGAACAAAGUUAAAAAUAUAGGGUCAAAUUUAUAGUUAGACUUUAAAAUAGAGUGAAAAAAAGCAAUUGUCUCUUUGUCGUUUUCCAUAUAUAUGGUCGCAAACAUUUCAGGGCUAGCCCAGCCUUGGCUGGCCAAUCAAAGUUUCUACAAUUCUCUCUCAGUUCUAUCUUGGUAUAUCAGAUCCUCAUCAUCAAGAGAUAUUUUUCUUAACCAGCAGAAAAAAAUUCGUCCCCAUCUUCGAAUUUGGACGAAAUACAUUGAAAUGCUUUUAAAUUUAGCAUUAAUAAUAUCUUCAAAUCUGUCCAAAAAACAACAUCGGUAGUGUGCACUUAGAAUCAGUGGAGAAUGGACAAGAGGCUAGAAAACAACCCAAUGGUUAGCAUUGAUCAUAAUGAAGUGUCAAGUAUAUAUAUGGAAGUUAGAGUUAUAUCAGAUAUAAUUGAUUUCUAUCAUAGUCUUACUAGUCUUACUUAUUUUUAAUCUUUUCUUAUUUCUACCUAAGCAUAUAUUCUACAUAUACAAUUGCCCUGAGGCCCAAUACAACAAAUCCAAUAUUCACAAUAUAUGUCCUCCCAUUCUAUUCAACACGAACCUGAGCCUCAUAUGUCGACAUGAUAGGGUUGAUGAACAUAUAUACUACUUCCUCCGUUUUAUAAUGUAAGAAUGUUAUAAUGUCGACAUUAUAGCAUUCCCCAUAUUCAUAUUGAUGUUAAUGAAUCUAAAUAGAUAUAUAUGUCUAGAUUCGUUAACAUCAAUAUGAAUGUGAAAAAUGCUAAAAUGACUUACAUUGUGAAACGGAAGGAGUAUUAGACAUGCUUUUUACCCUCUCUAGUGGUCGCCACCCUCCCCAGCCUUUUCCUUUUUUCUUUCUCACUUUUGUAAUCUCUUAGCCUUCACGGCUAUUAUACAGUAUUUUCCUCUCCUUUAAUACAAACACACCAUGCUGGGGUUUAAAAAAAGACAGUGAUAGAGUAUUUUGUUGAACUUAGUCACCCAUAAUUCCAGCUACAUUUAUCAUCAUAGAAGGAACUUUCAUGCAUAUGCUGCCAUAAGUCAAUAAGUCAACGUUUUUAUCGUUUUGUACAAUGGUUCAUCGAUGCUGACACCUGACAUCGAUACCGGCCGGCAACAACAAACUGAUUGCAACUAGAAGGGAAAAUAUUAGAAACAAGAAGCUUUAGCUUUGUUCACCUACCUACUAUACCAUCACGAGCUUUAAUACCGGGUAGCAAACCUUCCCAUAUUUAUAUAUGCGAUUUCAUUCAUAUAAUAUAUACUCCCUCCGUAUUUUAAUGUAUGACGCCGUUGACUUUUUGACAAACGUUUGACCUUUCGUCUUAUUCAAAAAAUUUAUGUAAUUAUAAUUUAUUUUAUUGUGACUUGAUUUAUCAUCAAAUGUUCUCUAAGCAUGACAUACGUAUUUUUAUAUUUGCAUAAAAUUUUUUAAUAAGACGAGUGGUCAAACGUUGGUUAAAAAGUCGACGGCGUUAUAUAUUAAAAUAUGGAGAGAGUAUAAGCCAAUGGAUGCAUGGCUUUGUCAUGUGGAUGAGAUUUAGCUCUCCCUCAUCUCACCUCAGGCCCGUCAACUCGUCUCAGGCUACUAAAUAGUAGUGUAGUACCUUACACGAACUUCACAAAUCUCACAGCCAUCUCCUGUCCUCUUUGUGCAACCGCAUGAGAGCCCAGCAAAUCUCGUACAGUAUAUGGAAUCACCAGGAGUGCGCUGAUCAUCGUCUUCCUCACGAUGGGGGAUGCCAUGGUUAGCUGCACAAAAGGCAUCUCUCCAGUGAGGUGAGCCUCCCUCACGACAUACGUCCACUUGAACAUUUUUUUUGUUCUUGUUUAAAAUUAUGUGUAGCGAUUAUACUUGUGUUCUUGUAUAGCAAUUCUACAAAACUAAAGGUACUAUUUGAUUCAACAAAACCUGCGAACAGUAUCCAAAGGGGGGCAAAAUUGAAGGGGAAAAUAAGGGGUUGUAUGCACGAUGAGUUUUUCUUCUUUUUGCACAAUUUACAAUUGUACGAUGCUUUGGUAUAGUAGGAGAGCCUAGCCGUUCAAAAGCAUCUUGCAUAAACAGAAACUUUUAAACAAACUACCCUUGCUAAGGCUCAUCAGUACGCUGAUCAAAUGUACUCGGUAAGGGAUGCAUGGAUAUUUUCAAGUGGAGCUAAUCAUCAUCUUCACGGUUGCUUUGAGAACCAUAUGACUAAGCCUUAUCAUCAAGUAUACAGACAAUCGACAUGCCUUUUAAGAACUUUUUUUUGGGUCAUGCCUGAUAACUUCUACCUUACGUACUACAUUAUUUGUGUAAGGCACAAUCACAUGGAGUUGGUGGCAUUAUGCUCUCAUGAGAACAUUAAAUUUCAUCAACUUACAUAGUACGGACUAUUUACUUCCAAGUUGUGCUCCUUGCAUCCUUGAUUAAUGGGAACAACUCAGCUCAUGGAAUCUCAAAGUAAAUGGAUCACAUUGCCAACUAAUAUUAGCAAUAUAUUACUCCUACAUCUCAUGUCUUGUCCUGUUCAAUACACCUAGGCACUUGACAAUUGGUGACAGUUGCAGUUUUCCAUGUUGCUAAUUACUCCCUUAGAGGGGUACAUCAGAGUCAACACAAUGGAAGGGGAAAAACUAAAAAAGCAUCGGCGACUUUGUAGACUUGUAUGCAGUCUUCAUACUUUAUAAUGUCUCAUUGUACGUUCUUGAUGUGAUGCAAGACCGGUUUCUCUCUAGUGUCCAGCCAUCCCUCUGCUUAAUACAGAGUUCAUCUCUCUUAACAUUGAAAAAAAAUAGAGUUCUUCUCUCUUCCUAGCUCUUCUCUUGAUUUGUCCAUGUUGACCAUGUCGCCGAAGAUCCAUGAUCAACGUGGCCAUUUCUGUUCUUAUUGAAGUUUUUUUACUGAAGAGAUCUUGUUGUUGGGAGUUGGGACUUGGGAGGGACCAAUUUUUCUGAACAUAUAGCACUCUCCUUCAGUCCUUCUGCAGCACUCUGACCAAUGGCAUGAUAAUUUGUAUCCAUAUUUCCGGUUAUUUCUCUUAUUCUCUGGUUCAUAUGGCGUAACCUUAAUUUCUUCUUUUCCAUUGAUGUGUUUUACUUCUAACCAUUGGUUGCACCAGCUUUCUAUUAAUGAACUUGCAAUUCACCUGUUCUUUUAUUUUUCUUCUCUUUGCAGGUGAUCUCAGGUUUUAUCUUGGUGGUUUCCUGCUGAACCUUCUGCUAUCGAUCCAUCGAAAAAUCUAGUGAGUUGAUAGUUGCAGGAAACUGAUGCUAUCAAUCCGUUGAAAAAUCAAAUGGGUCGAUAGUUGCAGGAAACUGAUUUUGCAAGACUAUAGCUAAUUCUUACCGUCGGCAUAGGAUUAAUGCCGGAAAUAGGUCUGUAAUGAAAGGUAAUGCUUCUUCACAUCUUGGAAUGUUGAAUGAUUUUAGUAAAGUGAAAGAUUCUUUCUCUAGCUACUGUUUUGUGUGAUCCCGACUGUGCUUUCUGAGCAAUUUUAUGGUCCUUGAGGAGGUACCAUGAAGUACCAUUUUUUCUAUUAUAAAUUUUGGUACCUCAUAGUACCUUUACACUAAAAUUUUGGUACCUUAUGGUACCUGCUCAAGGACCGUAGAAUUGCUCGUGCUUUCUGGGUAGCAGCAACUACAGUUGAACUAUUAACAUAUUUUUCACUUUUUGCACUUCAAUUAAGCAGUGUCUCAAGUUAUCUAAACAUAUUAUACUUUUUCUACAAUCAAAAUUUGGUGAAAUUGUGGUGAUUGGAUUAUUAUCGUUAGGUAGAUACAAUCAUAGUUUGAAUUCCAUAAUCUUUUUCUCAUGUUUUCUAAACAAACAAACAAACAAACAAACGGUUUAAUUUGCUGUCCUAAUAUAUAUGAGAGUUUUUACGCUCCAGGUACUGGUACUGCUAGGUACCAAAUAAAAUCCAACCAUUGAAUCAAAAGGGGCAUGAUGGGAAAAAAGAAUCGAUUUGCCGAGCGCCCCUGCUUCUGAACUGCUUGUUGACUCGCCAUCGUCCUCGAUUCUUCGCUGGCACGCCGCCGCGUGAGUGUUCUUCGACGGCAUCUUCUCUGACGCCAUUCCUUGCCGCCAGCGCCACCUGUGUGUUCUUCCGCGGUACCACUACUAGUGCCACGACCUUUAUUCAGCUGGUGCCCGGUGGCUGUGUUGUUAUUUCUCGAUCCGUCGCCGCCGGCGAUUAACUGCUCGUUGCUCUACGCGAUGCCGAUUAGUAUGGACGGAGGAGGCCAUAAAUCUUGUGAUAAUGAGAGGAUACCGUGAUUGAAAGGAGUGAGAGGAAAAAUCAGUGCGGAUGGUUCCGCCAUGGACUGAGUAGAGAAAAGAAAAAGGAAAGAAAGAAGGAUGAGAAAAAAAAGGCAGAUGGUUCCGCCAUGGACUAAGUUGAAGAAAAAAAUAAGAGAAGAAAAGAAGGAUGAGAGGAAAAAUCAAGGUAGAAUGGUAGAUGGUUCCAUCAUGGAUGAGUCGAGAAGAAAAAAAAGCAAAGAAAAAAAGACAGAUGGUUCCACUUCCGGCAUGGACGAGUAAGUGCCGUGCCGUGCGGCGAGGAUGCCGGUGACGGGUCGAAUUCCUGUUGUCGAGUCGAGGUGGGGAGAUGAGGCUGUUUGUUCCUCCUCGCUGCAAUGGAUGGGAGAAGAAAAGGGGAAGGAGCAGUGGAGCACGGUCCGGCGAGCGCAUUGAAUCAGGAUUCUAGCGAGAGGUGCACAGCUUUGAGGCUAAACACGAAAUUAUGGUUUUACCCUUCGGAUGGUUAGUACCGGGAGGGGUGAGCGCUUGUACCGCUAGGUACUGGAUGCUUGACAGCCGUCCGAUCAUCCUGGAUCGAUGGACCAAAUUUGGUACCGCUUCCCCGCUGGACGGUAAAAAGUCUCGGUCCAACAAAAAGUACCUCGAGGUAUAGUACCGGUACCUCACGGUACCAAAUCGUUUUCGAUCGUUGGAUUUAACAAUACUCAUCCUGCUCAGCUAGAUCCAAUGAUCAUAAACGUUUUGGUACCGUGAGGUACCGGUACCUCGAGGUACUUUUUGUUAGAUCGGAGUAAAUCUCGUAGAAAGGAGGAAGUGAGAGAAAUAGAGAUGGACGACUUGCUGUGAUACCGGUAUUUUCUUGCUGCUGCUUUAAUUUGUUGUAUGCAAAUUUGGUGAUUCAUGUGGAUUCGCCAAUUUAGUCACAAACAUGUGAUUCACGGCACAAGGAAAAAUACCGUUAGUAGAGGUACCAGUGACCAAGUUUGGUUUAGGGUUUCGGGUUCAGCCAUUCUAGCUCUACAUCUAUAUAAUGUGCAUACACUUCACCUUUCUUUUCUUUCCUCCCUUUGUUGCAGUUGUAGAAGCGUGGUCUAUGGUUUCCUCUUGCUGCUGGACUCAUAAUCUUCUGCUGUAUAUAUAUUCUGUACUUUGGCUCAUUCAAUCAAUUGUGUUUGGUCUUCACUAAUCUCACUCAAUUGAGAUUUGAAGUGGAUGUGUUGGUCAUGCAAACUGGUUACGAGAUGAUGGCUAGCAACUAUUUUUCGAGAUGAAGAGGGAAUUUUGUUAAUAAUUCAGAAUAAGAGUACAUUCUUCAGGAACUAUUUGCUCUAUAGAAUAAAAAAGGAAAUCAACAUAUCAAUAUCAACGGCAGAACGUUUUAAACAUUAUGCCAAUUGUGCAACCUCAUGAGCAAUGAAUUAUGUUUUCCUCAUCAUGAUCCGGCAGGACAAUUAAACCAGGUAAUUGUUCAUCAAAGUCGAUGAGGCAAACUAAGUAACUUUGCAAUGUUUGAGCAAUCAAACACUAAUAUUAUAGGUUGCUUGAUCCAAUCAACAGGAAGAGCUGAAUUAUUGGUUGCCUUGUCUACACGUUGGCCAUUCAACCUGUAUAUGAGGCCUGCAAAAUUAUUAUUACUAUACUUUUUUUUUCUGCUGAAUGAAAACAGUCAGUAAGGUAAAUUUUGCUUGCACACUUCAAAUAUCGUAUUCUUUUCUCUUCAUGAUCUUUUGAGACUUCCUUUCAAACACAUGAGUUUUACAAUAUUUUCAAAGAAAUUAGUUCUAUUACCACAGUUCAUGUGUUCCAAAAGGAGGCUUUACGGGAUGAAACUAGUAGGGAGGUGUUUCUACAUGACGUUAAUUACCACAAUGCGAAGUCCUGUCACGACUUGUAGAAAUGUUUUUUAUGAUACUCGAAGAUUGUCUAGACUAGUCAUUUCACACUGAUCCAACAGUUGGCAUUUUUUGAAUCAUAUUACGUCCUAUGCAAAUACUCACUACAUUUCUAAAUAUUUGACACCAUUGACUUUUUAGCACAUGUUUAACCGUUCGUCUUAUUAAAAAACUUUUGUGAAAUAUAUAAAACUAUAUGUAUACAUAUUAGUAUAUCUAACAAUGAAUCAAAUGAUAGGAAAAGAAUUAAUAAUUACUUAAAUUUUUUGAAUAAAACGAAUGAUCAAACAUAUUUAAAAAAGUCAACUGCGUCAAAUAUUUAGAAACGGAGGGAGUAGGUCUUAAAAGGAGGCAUUACAUUUCAAACUUGCUAUUGUAAGCAUGGCGACCCAAAAGACAACUAUAAUUUUUGAAAUAACGUUAUUUGGCACAUUUUGAAAUUUUAAUUACAAAAUACAACUGUAAUUUUCACAAAAUAUGCCAAUUCUGUUAACAUCACUUGGCAAAUUUUGUGAACCUUCUCUAAUUUUUCACUAUGUUAACAGAAUUGGAAUUAUUGCCAGCCUGCCUUUUUUUACAUUCAUCUGGUAUUUUGGCCUUGGUGGAUCUCCCCGUUUGUGUUUGCCUGAUGGCGGCGGUAUUAGAUGCUUUGAUUGUCUCAUGCAUCAAGAAGUUGCAGGAUAUCAUUACAGACAAUGCAAUACUCGUGCUAGGAGUAGAAGAAGAGCUCAGUGAACUGGUGAGAAAAACAGAUUACAUACGAUGUUCUCUUAAUGACGCUGAGACAACGAGGUUGGAUCAUGAAGCAGUUAAUAAUUGGCUUGGACAACUAAGAGAUGUUAUGUAUGAUGUCGAUGAUAUUAUUGAUUUGGCUAGAUUUAAAGGAAGCAUCCUACUAGCUGACCAUCCUUCAUCAUCAUCAAGCAAACCAACACGUUGCAAUUGCCCUUCGUGUCAUUGUAAUAUUUGGACACGUCAUGAGGUUGCUGUUAAGAUUAGAAGCCUGAACAAAAAGAUAGCGAACAUUUCAAAUGAUGAACUACUUCAAGAUCUCAGACGUAGACCGCAUCCGAGAAAUGGUUCGAUAUGGACACCGAUAAAAACCUCCAGCAUAGUUGAACCCAACCUUGUGGGUGAAGAGGUCAUACUUGCUUGCAGAGAAUUGGUGGAUUUGGUUAUUGAAAAUAAGGAAAAGAAAGAUUACAAGCUUGGUAUUGUAGGGACAGGAGGAGUUGGCAAGACAACACUUGCUCAGCAAAUAUAUAAUGAUGAAAAAAUAACAGGGAAUUUCGAUAAACAUGCAUGGGUUUGUGUUUCAACAGACAGCACACAAACUUCUCUAUUGGAAGAAGUUCUUCGGAUCAUGAAAAUUCGAUAUGGGAAAGCAAAAUCAGUUGAAGAGCUCCAAAACAAGCUCAAAUCAGCCAUUAAAGAGAAGAGUUUUUUCCUUGUGCUAGAUGAUGUAUGGGAAUCUAAUGCGUGGACUAAUUCACUUCAAAAACCAUUGCAUGCUGCAGCCAAGGGGAUAGUUAUAGUAACUACGAGAAAUGAAAAAGUAGCUCAGGAAAUUAAAGUGGACCAUACCCAUCAAGUUCAUUUGAUGUCAGAAAAUGUAGGAUGGGAUCUACUUUGGAAGAGCAUGGGCAUAACCGAAGAGAAACAAGUUCAUCAUCUGCGGGACAUAGGGAUUGAGAUUGUUCACCAAUGUGGUUAUCUCCCACUAGCAAUAAAGAUCAUCGCCAAAGUUUUAAUUAGCAAAGAGAAAACAAAUGAUGAAUGGAAAAGGAUAUUGAGCAACAAUUCGUGGUCCAUGAAUAAUCUUCCUGAUGAACUAAGAGCUUUAUAUCUGAGUUACAGUGAGCUAUCACACCAACUGAAACAAUGUUUUCUUUAUUGUGCUAUAUAUCCUGAACAUUCAACCAUUAACCGUGAUGAUCUUACUAGUAUGUGGGUGGCUGAAGGCUUCAUUGAUGAGCAGAAAGACCAACUACUAGAAGAUACAGCAGUAGAAUACUACAAUGAGCUGAUCCAUUGGAACCUCCUUCAACUAGACCUUUCAUAUUUUGACCUAGGUGGGUGCAAGAUGCAUGGUCUCUUAAGGCAGCUUGUUUGCUAUUUAUCAAGAGAAGAAUGUUUUGUUGGAGAUCCAGAAUCACAAAAUGGUAAUACAAUGAGUAAAAUGCGACGUGUUUCUGUGGUGACAGAGAAGGACACGGUGGUGUUACCAAGUAUGGAUAAGAAGCAGUAUAAAGUGAGGACUUACAGAACUUCAUAUUCCAAGUCACUGAGAGUUUACAAUCCACUUUUCAAGAGGCUUACAUAUCUCCGUGUUUUGGAUUUGACUGGCACACUUGUACAGAGCAUCCCAAGUCACAUUGGAAAUUUGAUUCAUAUGCGUUUGAUUAAUCUUGAUGGGACAAACAUAUCUUGUCUCCCAGAGUCCGUUGGUAACCUUCAAAAUCUUCAAGUACUGAACCUGCAAAGGUGUAAAUCUUUGUACAGGCUUCCUUUGGCAACCACGAAACUAUGCAAUUUAAGGCGGCUUGGUCUUCUUGAUACACCAAUAAAUAAGGUUCCAAAAGGGAUAGGAAGACUGCAAUUCCUUAAUGAUUUGGAAGGAUUUCCUAUUGGAAGUGUAACUUAUAAUAAAAAAAUGCAAGAUGGAUGGAAUUUGGAAGACUUGGCUGAUCUUUCACAGUUGAGGCGGCUUGUUAUGGUAAAACUAGAAAGAUGUACUCCUUGCAGCAGUGAAGAUUCAUUUCUCCUAACAAACAAAGAACAUCUGAAAGUUCUAUAUCUAGAAUGCACUGAACCAACAAAUGAAGCAUGUUCAGAUGAACAUGUUAAACAUGUUGAGAAUAUCUUUGAGCAGCUAGUCCCUCCACAGAACUUGAAAGAUCUAUCUAUUCUGAGAUUCCUUGGUCAGAACUUACCCUCCUAGCUUUGUAAUGUCUAUCUGCCUUCACUGAAAUAUUUGAUCCUCUCUGAUUGCAAAUAUUGCAUACAUCUUCCACCAAUAUGGCAGCUACCCAACUUGGAACGCCUGAAAAUUGUGAAAGCAACUGCAAUUACCAAGAUUGGACCCGAAUUUAUUGGGCAAUUUCCAAGAUCCAGGGAAGCAGUUGCUUUCCCCAAGCUUGAAUGGUUGAUCAUCAAUGAUAUGCCCAACUGGGAGGAAUGGGCCUUUAUUGAAGAAGAUGAGAUAUCACUUGCAGCAAUGAACGAAGGAGGAGGGGAUGGAACUGCUGUGGCCGAAGAGGAGGAGAUAUCACUUGCAGCAAUGAAUGAAGGAGGAGAGGAUGGAACCACUGUGACGGAAAAGGGGGAAGCCUCAUUUCCAAGGUUGUGUGUGCUGCCCUCUUUGAAGAGGUUGGACAUUGAUAACUGCCCCAAGCUGAGGGCUCUCCCACAACAGCUUGGACACGAGGCCACCAGUUUGAAAGAGCUCUCCCUUGUAGCAGCAAGCUGCUUGAAGUCGGUGAAGGACCUUCCAUCCCUAUCUGGUUUCCUUUCUGUUUGUAGAUGUGAAGGCCUGGAGAGGGUUACAGAACUUCCCAAAGUGAGAAAGCUGUUUGUAAGUGUUUGUCCAAAUUUGAGCUGUGUUGAGGAGUUAGGCAGUUUGGAGCAGCUAUGGUUGGAUGUGAAUAUGGAGGACUCAUCACCGUGGGUGCAUGGGCUUCGAGAGCAGUACCGCCACCUGGAUGUCUACACGUGGCCUAGAGAGUGAGAUGUGAAGACCCAACUAAAAGACAGUAGAUUAGUAGAGACACAAGGUAAGGGCAUUGGCUCUGUAUUUGUUGAUACAUAUUUUUAUUCUAUCGUUAUCUAAAAUAGUGGAAACAUAUUUUAAUUUCAUUCCAACUUUGCAUAUUUUCAGCCAAAAUCAUGCAUGUCUAAUGUUAUUCUCACCUGUACACUUUACAUUCAUUGAUGUUGUACACUUUGCAUCAUUCUUAGUAAGGAGAUCAUCAUAUAUAUUAGACAAAAUGUCAAACUUUCGGUAGUUGUUAUGAUUAAUAUUUGUACCUAUAUUACUGACCUUGUCACCUAAAACUAGUACAGAAAUCCUUAAAACUUUGUGUUGUAAUUAUUCUCAAUGUCCAUAACCAGUACAGAAACAAGUGUUAUAGCAUUUUAUAAUCUAUUAUAUCCUAAAGUACAUUAAACCUCCUACAAACGCUUCUAAGCCAUCACGUAGCACUCCUACGAACACUCCUAAGCCUCCACAUGACAUUCUAAUAAAUUAAAGAAAUUUCUAAAAAUUCCGAGAAAAACAAAAACAUCUUGUCAUUUAUCUUUAUUAAAUCUGGUGAACCCAUCAUUUACAACCAUUAGAUCUAGUCGUCAACCCGUGCGUUGUAUGGGUUAUUAAAAUAUUUAAGAAAUUCAAUUGUACAUGUGGUUGAAUACAUGGGUUAAAAUGAUUAUUUUGCUUAAAAAAAUGUUGGAAUGGCGGCAUUCGGGCAUCCGGUCUCUUGUACUUUACCAUGAUUUGACUUGGAAAACAGUGAGGGAAGUCUCCACGGUUCGGAUAUAAUGAUGAUUAAUCCAAAACUAAUUAAUUAAUUCAAUUAAAAAUACUCAACUACAGUACCAUGACUAUAGCUGGCCAAAUGGGUGGCCCGGCCCAACACGCACGGCCCCACUAGUGGCACGACCCACUAAGGCACGGCAACUGUAGCAGGCCGUGCACGUGGCCCAUAAAAAAUUGAAAAUUGAGGGAAAAAUAAUAUGAAGUUAAAAAAUGAAUGAAGACAGGACAAACGUGAGGAAAAUUUAGGAAAUAUACGAAAUAUAUUAGAAAAUAUAUGGUAAAAAUAGGAUAAAAUAUGAAAAAAAAUAAAAAAAUAUGAGAAAAAUAUGGGAAAAAUUAGAAAAUUGUAGGGAAAAUAAAUGGGCAGCUGGGCCGUGCUCGUGCCGACCCGUCAACAGGCAUGCCGUGCCGUGUAAGCCCAUGGGCUAAGGUGCUGGCCCAAGCACGACACGGACAAAUGGGCCAUGCCGGCACAGCACACAGUCCGCCCAACAUCUGUUCCUAGUGUAGGGCUCCUAAUUAAUUAAGGUUUGUUUGGUGAAACAAAAAAGCCACCUAAAUGUCUUUGUAUUGGUUCAAAUUGAUUAAUAGUUUUGUUCGUGUUCUACCUGUUAAAAGAAGAAGAGGAUAUUGCUGAUCGGCAUGCCUAUGUAUAGUCCAUGUGUGUCUUUUCCUUAUGCCUUUUGUAAUGCACGUGUAUUGUUUGGUAAGUUCAAUUCCAGAAAAUAUGAUUGUUGAAAAACUGAUAGCACAUAUAUUUUCUUUUCCUUAAUUAAGUUAUUAAAUUACCAAAAUACUUAUGUAUAUAUACAUCCAUGAUUAAUUUCUGUGUGCUUAUUUAUUUUGUAGGUUGUUAAUCUUGAAGAAUUUGGGCUGUGCAGUCACUUGUAAUAUGUAUUUUUGUUUUACCUAGUUAUUGGUCUUUGAAAUAUUAAAAAAAUUUUAUUUUUUUAAAAAAUAAAUAAAACAAAAAUAUCAAGAAAGGGAAAAUGUCAAAAAAAUAAAAAAUAUAUUUUCUUUAGCUCUUGUAAAAUAUAUUGUCAUGUUUCGUUAGAUUUUGCGUGUGUGUUUCUUUUCUUUUUAUUUUUUUUUGUAGGUGUGUAGGUAACUCCGCCUAUGUCAUCGUAGGUAUAACUAAAUGACAUAGCCGGUCCCCAGCCCGGAAAAAGGAGGAGGGGAUAGUUUGGUAUAGAUGUGUGUUGAAAUGAUGCUCCGUUGCUAGAUCAUUGGGAAUUUUCUGCACUUUUAUUAGAUUAAUUUCAUUUUCAGUGAUGGAAUAAUUGUGGAAACAUUUCUGGAGACUCAUCCACCCUUAUUGCUCUGUUGGACAAAUCUGAUUCUGAACUAUUUAAGCUAGCUUGACCAGACCACCAGGUCUAAGAGCUGCGAAUUGACAAGUAGGUGAAGGAAAUUCAGUGCCGACCAUGACCUGAUGAGGAGCAAAAAUUUUUUUCAAGUCUUGGAGCCCAAAUGUGCCUGAAGUCCUGAACAACAAGAUACAAUUUUGCUGCAGGAUCAAACAAUUUUGCUCCUCUCAUUUGUUUCUUGUCUUUACCUAGUUGCUGGUCUUUGGAAGAUUACAAAAACUGAAAAAAAAAAGAGUGAAAAGAACACGAAAAUUACAAAAAAAAAGUCAAAAAAGGGAUACAGAUCCAAAAAUGAAAAAAAAAACGUGUUUUUGUUUUUUGUCUUGCACGUGUGUAGGUAGCUCCUCCUAUGCCAUCUUGGGUGUGCAUCUUUAAUGGCAUUGCUAGUUCCAAGCCCGAAAAAGAGAAAAUUGCAUAUGUACCAUCGCGUAAAAUUGGCUUCGUAAAAAUACCAUCACUUAAAUGGGCUUCGCUAGAAUAACAUCCUGAACUGAGUACACUUCGCCACUUUACCAUUUUCAUCAUUUCUUCCAUUUUAAAUUUAUUUUAUCAUCUUUGCAUCUCUUUUUGGACUGAAAUACCCCUAAGUCAUCAACGCUGAAGCACUUCUGGUCCCAAGCCCGGAAAAGGAGCAGGGGGUAAUAGUGUAUAGACAUUAAGUGAAACAAUGCGCUGCUGCUAUCUAGAGCAGUGAAAGUUCUCUUGAAAAUUUCUGCACUCUUGUCAAGUUAAUUGCAUUUUUAUUGAUGGAAUAGUUUACUGAAAAACACUUCUAGACACUCAUCCACUCUGGUGCUCUAUUGGGCAAUUCUGUUUCUAAACUAUUUUAGCUUGACCUCAUUGCAAACCAGUUUUCAUGUGAAAGCAAUGGAGGCGAACACAUUCACCAGUUCGUCCUCCUCUCAUUCCCUGCAUCCUGUUUGAGAAUUGAGAAUUGUGAACACUGCGGUGUGGAGGCUGCGGUUCGUCAGAAGUUUAAAUUCCUAGAUCCAGUUUCAGAUACUUAGCAGCAUUUCACCUGAUGGCAUUUGAUCGUAAUGUUCAGAGAAUGUUAUCUCCUAAUGCUUUGGAGUUCACUCCCCAAAUUUUCAACACUGUCAUGGACUCUGAAAUUAGAAUCCAGCUGUGUUGCGUUCAUUACUGUAAGAGCUCUUUUUUUUUUUAAACCUAAGCCAGCAUUGCUGGUUUUAUAUUAAGAGAGGGAGAAACUGUACAGACAAGAGACAUCGGGCCCGAAACCCAUACAGCUGCAUGGUUAAUUAUGGGGAACCGACAUCACAGAGGAAAACAUGGGACCUAACUACACUACUAACAACAACGGCGGAGCCCAAACGCAAGACAUCAUUGCCAAGCUAAACACAAAAGUGGCACAACAGCUCCGACAUCAUAGAAGAGGUGUUAUCGUUGCCGAGCUAGCCGGCCAAGCAACCCAGCAGCGCCGACUUCACCACUGCAGCGACAUUGAAGCCACGGAAGUUGCCAAAGCGAAAGCAGCUCCGACAUCCACAAUGGACAUCAGCCAAGCCAUGAAAGAGCCACUUCCUUCACAUGGCCAGCACCAACUCUUUGGAAGAGACCGCAACACGUCAUCGUUGUCAAGCGUCGCCGCACCCCAGCAGCGAGCAGCUCCGACUUCCUCCGUAGAAACAACCGAAGAGUGUGUCGCCCACCACAAGAGCGAAGCGAACCCAAGAGGCUUAGGCCUCGCCAAGCACCAAGGAAAGAAAGCUUUUGAACCGAAGAGACCCUCAAUAGUCAUCGAUGUAAAGGAACUUCCCCGAAGCGACGCCCCCAAGGAGGACACGACGCGUAACGCCGCCGCCGCUCGUCCGAAGCCGGAGCAAGGUUUUCACUUGGAGAUUUGUGGGGCAAAUGGGAGAGCACAUUGACAACGCCUUCAAGAAGGGAAAUGGCGCCAAUGGGUGCGUCGUCGUCAUCGAGCCGGCCAAAGGUACAGCAAGGCUUUCGCCAGCGUCUGCACAUUACCCACACAAGCACCCCCACAUCGACGACCAAACGAUAGUCCAAGAUGACUCACAAGCAUUCCACCCUCGACGCAUCCUACCAUCGCCCACACUCCUCUGCUGCACCGACCAGAACCGGCCAAGGCGGCCAAGGUACUGGUCGUCGAAGCUCCCCGCUGCCAUCGCCUCCACGAGCACCCACUCCCCGCUAUGCCGCUGCCACCGUCGCCACAAGCGCCCGCAGCCCCGCUGCACCUCGUCAAGACGCCAGUGGGCGUAGCUGGAGGUUGCCACUGCGCCGACAAGGGCCUCGCAUCCGCCUCCUCGCAGCACCAGACCCCCGCCGUCGCCGGCCUCCCACUGCCGCUCUGGCGAGGGCACACUGGUCCCCACCUUGGCAGCACGCCAUCAUCCAGCCAGGAGGGUGGUGGAUCUGGCCAAGGGCCACCGGAUCCGACCGCCCCCAUCGCCGGGCCGAGGGCCACCGCCGCCUCGCGGCUGCCUCGCCGUCGUCUCGCGGCUGCCUCGCCGUCGUCUCGCGGCCACCCCACCGCCGUCUCGCGUGGCCCCCCAUCACCGGCCGAGGGCCUCGCCAGCCGGGGCCCGCGUCCUCCCUCGUGCCGCUCGAUGCCCCUCUCCACCUCCGUCGCGACGCUAGCCCGCUGGCCGAAACCGUGGGUGAGGGGGCCAGAUCCGGCCACGGAGGCGCCGGAUCCGCCGCCCCAAACCGAUCGGCCGUCUCACCUUCGGCUGCGCCGUCGUCGGCCUUCUCCGUCCUCCUCACGCAGAGGACGGUUCCACCGAGCUGUACGUUUGGGCCUUGCCGCCGCCUUCCCGGCUCACCACUGGCUUUGCCGCCGGCGAGCUUCGGCGGCGGCGAGGUGGAGGAGGGGGAUGAGGGUGUGGCGGCACGGGUGGCUAGGGUUUCGCCCCCGAGCCGCCCGCGUGAGAGCGACGCGGGGGACGCGUCCUCCUUUCAUCUUCCUGUAAGAGCUCUUCAGUCAUUCAGUUUAGUGCACAGACUUUUUAGGGCCCCUUUGAAUCGCAGGAUUGAGAAAACAUAGGAAUAGGAAAAACGUAAGAUUUUGAUAGGAAUGUAAGUGUAAAACAGAAGAUUGCAAAACGCAGGAAAAACACAGGAAUGACCGUUUGAUUGAAUCGCAGGAAAAACACAGGAAUUAGAUGAGAGAGAUAGACUCGUAGGAAAGUUACCAAGAGGUUGAAGCUCUUGCUAAAUUUCCUCCAAAAUCUCUUUAGGAUUGUCCAUAGGAAUUUCAAAGGAUUGUAUAUGAUUCAAUCCUUUGUUUCGAAGGGCUUCAUAGGAAAUUUUCCUAUAGGAUUGAAAUCCUCCAAAAUUCCUAUGUUUUUCCUCCAAUUCAAAGAGGCGCUUAGUGUCAUCGCAACAAGUUCAUCUAACAGGUACAAAAUUGUCUUCCCCUGGAUGACAAAAUGCAGCAGAAAGCAAAGCAAAACUGAAUUGCAUUCAGCGACGGGAAAAGAAAGGGAGGAGUGAGAGGUGUCGCUUACAUUCUCUGGUCUCCGGCACGAACGCCGAGGUGGGGGCUCGCUCGACGGCCGCGCGCGCUAGGAGCUCGAGGAUGACCUCAUUGGCUCGUCGGAUCGCCCGCUCGCAGCAACGCCCGGUUCCCUUCUCCCCAUCGCCUCUCGCUGAAGCUCCUGCCGUCGCCGGGUCGCCGUCGCUCGCAACGACAACAAUACGAGAUAACUCGAGGGCCUAUACGAAAAUAAACCCCCAGUUCACACUUCACAGGCGUGUUUAAAUCUCAGCCGCCUAUAUCAGAUCGAACGGUGCAGAGAGGCUGAGGUUUUGGAUCGCUCGAACGAAGAGAUUUUUUUUUUGACGCAAAAGGUAGAGACUACCUUAUAACCAUUGCAUUAAUGGUGGUCAAAUCAGAUAAAAUCUGGUAAAGCCGAACAAGAGAACAGAGGGGGGAGAAGAAGGAAAAAACAGAAAGAAAAGACAUGAGAAAAAACAGAGGUACAAGGGAGAAAAACAGGAAGAAAGAAAAAAAAAUACAAGAGAUACAUAGAUACAAAAGGGGAGACAAGAUGGUUAAGCGAAUUUGACCACCCAAGCAGUAAUGUGUGCUCGAAGGCAAGGCUUGAGGCAACGAAGAGAUUUUGGUCGAUAGUAGUUGAGUUCAUGUUCCUUUGUUGGUCUGUAGCGCUCAGUGAUUCACAUCAUCUCAAGACAUGAAUCAACCUAUUUUUUUUAGAUAAUGGAUAAAAUCCGGCCUCUAUAUCCAAAGGAAUCAACCUAUUUCUGUUUGGGAGAAUGUUAGAACAAUGCUUCCCGUUGAAGUCGCAAUCCAACUAGAAAUGCUUUUUAUAUGCAGCUUGUAGAUAGAUGUGCAGACAAGAUUCAGUUCAGCACUUCAGCCAAACUGUAUUCAGACAAGAUUCUAUUAUCAAAAGACACAACAGUAGUCCCCACAUGUGACAUGUGGACCAAAAGGAGUGAAGUAGUAUAUUGUAGGAGUAUUUCAAAAACUCCCCUGUAGCCUCCCCACUUGGGUCUAAUUUUAUUUUACAGGAACCGUAAGCAAACCCUAGGAUUUUGCUUAUACAAGGUUUACCUAACUAUACCAUUGAUGAUAGAGACACUUACAUUCUUGCCCUUUCCUAACCCGCCCUGCUCCUUCACACUGCGGAGGCAAACUUUUUUUGAAUGACUCGCACGAGAUUACAAGAUUACAACCCUGGAGGGUCGUAACCAGGAAAAAGAAAAAAAACCCCACCCACACACCGACAUCGCCAACACACAAGCCCAGGAGAAGGCUAGCACCGGACCGGCCGCCGCUAAGUAUGACCGACCGCCACUAGGCCGACAAAGGGACACUGACGAGAUCGCCCCAUAGGGGUGCCAAAACGAUGUCUUCAAGAAGAGAAGUGACGGAAAAGCCGCUGCCGCCGUCCGUCGGGACUCGAAGGAGCCAAGACUAGGCUUUCGCCCGGCAAUUACCCUUGGGGGAUGAAACAACACGACAACACCCUCAGGAGGGAGAACCUCGUUGUUGGUUCGACCAAGGCCGGACUGAGUUUUCACCCGCCGCUCACCACCUGCAAAUCCACGGCUGACGCACUGAUGCCCCACCACCAUACAAGCUCUGCCGACCUGUGGGACCCCUGCACUGGUGUCCCCAGUCGGCUAGCCUUCGAGCGCCGAAGAUCGCGCCACACCCACCAGCAGAUUCUCCUCACACCUAGGUCGCCUCCUCCACCGUCAGCCGCGCCUCUCGCGCCAAGCCGGCCUCCUCCACCGGACACGCCUCUCGCGCCAAUCCGGCCUCCCUCCAUCGGACGCGCCUCUCGCGCCAAUCCGGCCUCCCUCCAUCGGCCGCGCUUCUCGUGCCAAGCCGGUCACCGACCCCUCUACCAAACGAUGUCGCGCCGGCCAAAUGUAGCCAUCUCCCACGCCCUCGUCUUGCCGUCCGAGGCCGCCAUGCCUCCGGUGACCGUAGUCAUGGCCACCACCACCACAGCCACUGCUGUUGAACGCAAAGCCACCUCACCGUCCUCAUCCUCACCUCGCACCUCCACUUGCUGCCGCCAGUGACCCGCAUCCGCCGACAUCGCCAGCGCCUCCACAGGCUAUCGCAGAAGAUCCCGCCGCCGCCGGGUCACCGUCGAUCAUGACGACAACAAUACGAGAUAACUCGAGGGCCUAUAUGAAAAUAAACCCUCGAUUCACAGUCACAGGCAUGCUUAAAUCUAAGCCACCUGUAUAAGAUCGAGCGGUGCAGAGAGGCUGAGGUUUUGGAUCGCUGGAACGAAGAGAUUUUGGUUGAUAGCAGUUGAGUUCGUGUUCCUUUGUUGGUCUGUACUCUGUAGAGUUCAGUGAUUCACAUCAUCUCAAGACCUGAAUCAACCUAUACUAUCUCUGUUUGGGAGAAUGUUAGAUCAAUGCUUCCCGUUGAAGUCGCAAUCCAUAUGCUUUCUAAAUGGUAAAUGCAAGUAGCUUGUAGAUAGAUGUGCAGACAAGAUUCAGUUCAGCACUUCAGCCAAACUGUAUCUGUUGGACAAAUCUGAUUCUAUUAUCAAAAGAUACAACAGUACUCCCCACAUAUGGACCAAACACAGUGAAGUAGUUUCCCAGUAAAAUCAAUUGGGAUAGACACAUGCACCAGUUCAUCCCCCUCUCAGUCCUUGCAUCCUGCUGUUUGAGAGUUGAGAAUUGAGACACAAGUUAGGCAAAGGAAAUCAUUCACUGUUUGUUAGCAGUACGUACAAAGUUUGGCCAGAUACACAAAAACGCAUGAAAACAAGUAUACUUGUAAACAAUUACUCCUGUAAACUCCAAUAUUUGAUGAGAAAUAUUUCUGUAUGUUUACUCGUGAAACCUGUCCAUUGGAUUCAACGCUAAAAGUUUUGAUCCCAAGUAUGCAACAGGACUGGAAAUAAGCCCCGAAUUCUCAUAGAAACCUCUGCCGUUGUCUCUGUCAACCAGCUCUUUCACAAUGCAAAUGCAUGCCUAAGCAGAGAACUGGUUGGCGUCAGGAAGGCCAAGUGAGAUUCUGUUCUCCAGACACUUGGAGAUACUACAAAGAUUUGAUCUUUCUCAUCUUUUAAUCGCCUUCUUGAGAGAGAUCAUCUCAGUUGCCUGCAGCUUCUAGAAAAAAAAAACAGGUACAAUUCAGCGAGGAGAGGGAAGGUCAGCAAGAAGCAGAUAGGACACAGCCAUGUUCCAGAAAUCAGUUCCAACUGUUAGCCUUUUUUUUUUCCUGUAAAAGAAACAACUGCGUUACCACUGUCAUAUAGGCCAGAACACAACAUCAGUUAGAUCUUACUACGGAGCUAGUGCCCUUGUUUGGUUGAUUCAGGUUCAUUCUUGAGCUAAAAAGUACUAACAGUUUAGGAUGGCAAUGUCACUGCAUUGCUUGACUGAACUUGCAAUUCCCUGAAUCACAGGAGGUAGCUGGCAGUAGAGCUACUGCGCGUACCAUAACGUGGUGCACCACACCGCCCGGGGAUUUCACCCAGGUGCUCCAGGACGUCGCCGGCGACCCCACCCUGCCCCGCACCAAGUCCGUCCGGUGCGCCGCCUGCGGCCACGGCGAAGCUGUCUUCUUCCAGGUCAGGAUUAUCGAUCACAACCAAACCAACUAGUUUAUUCAGAGUUCAGAGUUAAUACAAAAGAUACUCAACUAACGCAAGUUCUGCAUAUUCUCAAAAAAAAUAAUUCUCGGUUUCGGUUCAGAUGCCAACUGUGAUUAACAGAAUGUGUAGUUGCAGAUGGAGUAAUAAUUCGGGGUAUCUUUGUGAACAUUGCAGUGGAGAGGCCGCGCCAGGGGCAACGCCCGGUUCCCUUCUCCUCAUCGCCGGCGGCAGCGGCGGCGGCGUCUCGACAUCUCUUCCUCCCUUGUACAACGACACGACAACACGAGAUAAUACGAGGGCCUAAACGAAAAUCGGCCCACGGAUUCCGAGGCGCGUCUAAUCUCAGCCGCCUGUAUAUGAUCGAACGGUGCAGAGAGAGGCUGUGGUUUUGGAUCGCUGGAACGAAGAAAUUUUGGUCGAUAGCAGUUGAGUUCGUGUUCCUCUGUUGGUCUGUAGCGUUCAAUGAUGCAGAGAUGCCGUACUGCCGUUUAAGCUUCAGAACCUAUUGAUGUUAUACAGUACAGAUACGAGUACAUGAAACUGGGAUUGUGUUCAACUGGAAAAGUUGACAGCGUUAGGGGUAGGGGUGAAAACGGUACGGAAACUUUCCGGAUUCCGGACUUAUUUUCGAAAACGGAAUCGGUCGGUCGGAAUUUUUUCGGAAUUUUUCGGAAACGGAAACGAAAUCGGAAAUAUUUUCUCAGAAACGGAAUCGGAAAUGAAAAGGGCAGUUUCCGUUGGAACUCGGUAUCGGUCGGAAACUUUCCGGAAAUUUUCUCGGAAUUUCCGGAAAUUUUCUCGGAAUUACCAGAAAUUUUGUGACUGAAAUACCCUGGAUUCUUUUUUUAAGCGCUAAAUAGUGAAUACCAUGGUGUUUGGCUGUUAUUUUUUUAAAAAAUAUUUGUUAUGCAAAUCUAAAAUUACAGAAGAAUAUUUUUUGUCCUACAUUGGGAUUUAUCGACAACAUUACUCUUUCAAACAUAGAUAAUUUAUUCAAUUGGAUUUAUUAGUUUGAGGGGUUUUUUUAUUCCGAUAAAUUUUCGUUACCAUAUUCGCGCCUGUUCGUUUUCGCUCCGUUUUCGGUUUCGAUAAUAUUCGAUUCCGUUUUCGUAUCCGAGGUUUCCGAUUCCGAUUCCGAAAAAAAAUAUGAAAACGAAAAUAAUAAAGAUGGUUUCCGUCCGUUUCCGUACCGUUUUCACCCCUAGUUAGGGGUGAUGAGCGGUGCCAGUUGCCACCCAAAAUCCUUUGAAGAUGAGAUGCACUACUCUGUUUCAAUCAUAACUAGCAUGGUGGCCCGCGCAGAUUUCGCGGUAAUUCCGAAUUUUUCUGUAAAUUGUAUUUCUAUAUAGACUCUAUGCUCUUCUUCCAAUAUUAUUUAUUUUUAUUUCUGAAUUUUUAUUAUUUCUAAUUGUAUUCCUAUAUGGACUCUAAACUCAUCUUUCAAUAUUCUUUAAUUUUUAAUUUCGAAUUUCAGUUACUUCUAAAUUGUAUUCCUAUAUUGACUUUAAACUCUUCUUCCCAUAUUUUUCUUAAUUUCAAAUUUUAGUUAUUUGUAAAUUGUAUGUUUAUACGGACUCUAAACUAUACUUUUAAUUUUAUUCUGUUUAUUCCAAAUUUUAGUUAGUUUAAAAUUCCAGUAUGGACUCUAUAAUCAACUUCUAAUAUUCCUUUUUUUAAUUCUGAAUUUCUAUUUUUUUUCUUAAUUGUAUUUCUAUAUGGACUCUAUACUCUACUUCUAAUAUUCCUUAUUUUUAAUUCCAAAAUUGUAUUAUUUCCUAAUUGUAUUUCUAUAUGGACUCUAUACUCCACUUCUAAUAUUCCUUAUUUUUAAUUUCGAAUUUCUAUUAUUUCCUAAUUGUAUUUUUAUAUGGACUCUAUACUCCACUUCUAAUAUUGCUUAUUUUUAAUUCCGAAUUUCAGUGAUUUGCUAAUUGUAUUUCUAUAUUGACUCUAUACUCUACUUCCAAUAUUCCUUAUUUUUAAUUCCGAAUUUCAGUUAUUUGCUAAUUGUAUUUCUAUACUGACUCUAUGCUCUACUUCUAAUAUUCCUUAUUUUUAAUUCCGAAUUUCAGUUAUUUCCUAAUUGUAUUUCUAUAUGGACUCUAUACUCCAUUUCUAAUAUUCCUUAUUUUUUAAUUCUGAAUUUCAACUAUUUCUAAAUUGUAUUUCUAUAUAGACUCUAGUCUCCUCUUCUAAUAUUACUUAUUUUUUAAUUCCGAAUUUCAGUUAUUUCUAAAUUGUAUUUCUACAUGGACUCUGCUUUUUCUUUUUCUCUGAUUAAUGUGAGAAUUUCUAGGCCAUGAGAGUGAACGUGGAGGCUUCUUUUUCUAUUUCUUUAAUAAUAUGAUAGAUUUUGGAAAGAUUCUGGUGACCUCCUGCAAGUUGCUCUGUGGGGAGGUUGCUGCGGCUAGGGAUGUCUUAAUAACCAUGCUUGCUGUAUACAUGUACUAAAAACUUCUCCUCACUUAAUAAUCGGCCAGCGUACUUUUGCCAGACAUAUGAAAAUAAAAUACUUUCAGAAAGAUAUAAACAAUGAUAACUUUGUACCAGCAUCAUGUCAUGUCAAGAAAUGACACAACAGAUUUCACUCCUAAUAUUUUCUUUAAUGAGACAUGGGAAUCUUUUUAUUAGCAUGAUGGAGAAAAUUAUGUAGCAGACCCUAUAUAGACAAUAGAGGAACGGUGGCUUCUGGAAUGUCAAAACCGAUGAAUUGUCUUUUCUGCAAUUUGGCGAAAAACAAACUCCUAAUGCACACUGCGACAGACAGGGCAUAUCACCUAACAGCAUCUUUUGUCAUGUCCAGCACUGCUAAAGGCUGUGAAUACUCCAAACUAAACGAGCUGCACCAAUUUCAUAUCCGUCUUCUCCUCUCUGCCACUGCAUAAUCUAGGUCCAGUAUAUCACCAGGAACGUGCUCAUCGUCUUCCUUGCAGCCGGUGAUGCUGUGGCUGUACGCACCUAAGGCCUCUGGGGACUGGGGUGAGUCUUUCUUCUUUGCCAUAUGGACUUAAUAUAUCUUCUGCUUUCCCUUGUUCAAUUCCUGCUUCCUGUCAUGGUUGGAGUCGAUCGAGACGUUGGCUCACUCAGUCAUCUUCUUCUUGUACUCCAGCAGAAGACGUUGAUCCGGCUCAUUUCAGCCUCACACCCAGCAACACUUCGCCUUCCAUGCUUAAGCAAAACCUCUCAACUUGUUGCCCAUUUCUUCUUCGUCGUUGCCCGUUGACCCAAGAAGCUGUCUAAAGGUAAUCCCAUUGUUCUAGUUCUUUCAGAUUUAAUAUGUUCUAGUUCUAGUUCUUACCAUCCACAUGAUGCCCUCGCCAAGUCACCAUGAUAUCAUCAUCCAAGAUGAAUUGGAACUUUGCACACCAACCAAAUAGGGGUAGAGGGAUCACUGCACUAUAUGAAAUUUACAGCGGUUAGUAUCGAAUAUGAUUUUAUGAAAUAAUUGCCUUCUUCCGUUCAUUUUAGUAUGUUAGACUGUGUAUUGUUUGCUGUUAAUUAGUUAGUCUUAUUCUCACCAGUCCUAUAUACAAUUAUGUAAUUGUAAAAGAUAAACCAUUCUUUAGUUGUAGUCCCAUAUUAAGAGUAGAUACACUACACUACACAGAAAAAAAACAUACUUCUAUGAAUACCUCACAUGAUAAGAAUGUAAUACUUUUAGUGUUGGUUAUGUACCUCAUACUGUGCAUGAUUUGUCCCUAGAACUUUAGUUUAAGUAUGAUAAGCUAAUUAUUGUAUUAAUAUAAAUGGCAAUUCAGUAGUUAUACCCAUGGAUGUCUAUUUUAUCAAUACAAAAGGUUUAGUGAACAUUAUAUAUUUUUCAGAUCAUGCUAACAGAUAUCGUGCAUUCCUUGCCAACCUACAAUGCUGUCACUUUCUGAAACGUUAAAAGUGGAUCUCCCUUGCUGAUUUUUCCUAUGGCAACCAUAUUAGAUUCUUUGGUUGGAUCAUGUGCCAAUAAGUUGAAAGAGAUUAUUACUGAAGAGGUGAUACUUAUUCUAGGGAUACAAGAAGAGCUCGCAGAGUUGCAGCGGAAGACUGAACUCAUACAUUGUUGUAUUAGUGAUGCUGAGGAAAGGAGGAUGGAAGAGUCAGCAGUUGACAAUUGGCUUGGUCAGCUAAGAGAAGUUCUAUAUGAUGUUGAUGAUAUUAUUGACUUGGCUAGAUUUAAGGGAAGCAUUCUACUAACUGAUCAUCCUUCAUCGUCAUCAAGGAAGUCAAUUGCUUGCACUGGCCUGUCAAUUUCCACUUGCUUUUCUAAUGUUCAGGCACGUCAUGAGGUUGCUGUGAAGAUUAGAAGUCUCAACAGGAAGAUAGAAAACAUUUCGAAGGACAGAGUAUUUUUGACACUCAAGAGUACGGUUCCUACUGGAAGCAGUUCAGUAUUGAGAGUGAGAAAAAGUUCCCACCUACUUGAGCCCAACAUUGUUGGCAAGGAGAUCAUACAUGCCUGCAGAAAAAUGGUAGAUUUAGUGCUUGAACAUAAGGGGAGAAAACUUUAUAAGCUUGCAAUUGUUGGGACUGGGGGAGUUGGUAAGACAACAUUAGCUCAGAAAAUAUACAAUGAUAGAAAAAUAAAAGGAAGUUUCAACAAAAAAGCCUGGGUUUGUGUUUCCAAAGUGUACUCUGAAGCUUCUCUUUUGAGAGAACUUCUUCGAAUUAUGGAAGUUCAUCAUGAUCAAGAUGAAUCAAUUGGAGAGCUCCAGAGCAAGCUUGAAAUAGCAAUUAAGGAGACAAGUUUUUUCCUUGAGUUGGAUGACAUGUGGCAAUCUGACGCAUGGACAAAUUUAUUAAGAAUUCCGUUGCAUGCUGCAGAAAUGGGAGCAAUUCUCAUAACAACUAGAAAUAAUAUUGUUGCCUUAGAAAUCGGAGUGGACCAUACUUAUCGAGUUGAUUUGAUGUCAACCGACGUAGGGUGGGAGUUACUUUGGAAGAGCAUGAAUAUCAGUGAAAGCAUAGAAUUGCAAACUCUGCAGGAUGUUGGGAUUGAGAUUGUUCGCAAAUGUGGUUGCCUUCCUCUUGCAAUCAAGGUUAUUGCUAGAGUGUUAGCGAGUAAAGAACAAACAGAGAACGAAUGGAAAAAAAUAUUGAGCAAAAAUGCUUGGUUCAUGAACAACCUUCCAAAUGAUUUGAGAGGUGCUUUAUAUCUGAGUUACGAUGAGUUACCACAUCAUUUGAAGCAAUGCUUUCUUUAUUGUAGUGUAUAUCCUGAAGAUGCAAACAUUUACCGUGAUGAUCUUACAAGGAUGUGGAUCGCUGAAGGCUUUAUAGAGGACCAUGGAGGUCAACUACUAGAAGAAACAGCAGACGAGUAUUACUAUGAGCUGAUCCACCGGAACCUUCUUCAACCAGAUGGUUUAUAUUAUGACCACAGCAGCUGCAAAAUGCAUGAUCUUUUAAGGCAGCUUGCUUGUUAUUUGUCAAGGGAAGAAUGUUUUGUUGGAAACCCAGAAUCAUUGGUAGGUAACACUGUGUCUAAACUUCGACGUGUUUCAGUCGUCACAGAUAAGAACAUGGUAAUGUUACCUAGCAUGGACGAGGUGCAAUAUAAAGUAAGGACAUGGAAAACUUCUUAUGAGAAAACACUCAGAGUUGAUAAUUCAUUUUUCAAGAGAUUUCCUUAUCUUCGUGUUGUAGAUUGGACUGAUUCAUUUGUACCAAGCAUCCCAGGUUGCAUCGGGAAUUUGAUCCAUCUACGUUUGUCUACAAUUGGACAUAGUGAUAAUGUAUGGAUGCCAAAAUUAUUUGGACGCUUCGGUUGUUUGAUGCAAGGUAUGUGAUUUUAUAUACUCUGGAUUCAGAUUGCGCCCAUUUUUUGGCAUGCUAUUGUGUACAUAGAUAUAUAUCUUUUGCUUUACUAGAUCUCGGUCUUGAGGAUGAAAGGAUCUAGUACUUUGUAAUAUCGACUAUAACAGAUAUGACAAUAAUCCCAAAGAAAUGGCAGUAUAAGAACUACAUAACUGUACUUUUAGUUUGUUCCGGUAAUCUUCUAUUAGGUUCUGCAACUUCCAUGCAGCUCAUUAUCAGCACAUCAACCUUCUUAUUGAGCAGGAAUCAAUGAAUGGAUCAAUGGGUAGAUGGUAGGAGUACCAGUCUGACUGUGUGUAUAUUCAGCAAAUUUAGUCUCCCUGAUGGUUACAGCCUACCUUAACUGAAUUUCACAUCAGCAAUGAUUGUGUGCAAGACCCUUUUUCCUCCACCAGAUGAUGCUUAAGGACCACAAAAUACAUGUAUAUCUCGAUGAACCGAAAAUAAAAGCUUUCCCUCCAUUAUCCAACAUCGUUUUUUAUCGAGUCCAUCCUUCUCCAUUUAAACACUGAACAGAACAGCUGAGCUGGUUACUCUGUCAUCAGGAGAGAUAUUAUGACCAAUACCCCCAGCUUUUCCCCUUGUUAUUCCCUAUUGUUGAAUUAACUGUAGUUUUGAUGCAUUCAUGUGUUAUGCAGGGGGAUGCUGAUCAGUGCCCCUUUUGGAUACUUCAACCUUCCUAAUGUUCCACGUAAGCUUUUUCCUAAUUAUUCCCAUUGUAAUCUGCUCUACUAGCAAUGGCUUAUCUGCUGCAUCUCCUGUACAGGAUUCAGAACUCAAGUUCUUGCCGCAAAAUGGUUUCUGUACACACAAAAAUGGCUAAAAUUGUAAAUGCAAAAUUUCAAAUGCCACCUGCGAUUAACUGCAGAUUGAGUUGCUGAUGGAGGUGAAAACUCUUCUAUGCUUUAGAGUUCACUCCCAAAUCAUCAACCCUCUUAUGGACUCUGAAAUCAGAAUCGAGUUGUGUCCAGUUAUUUCAGUUCAGUGCUCUAGUUUCAUAUCAUCUGUUCCGAGUAAUUAACAACUGGAGUAGAAAUUAUCCUUCCCCUGAACUGAAUCACAAAUGCAUCGCAAAGCAAUCAAAGCUGUGGCGAAAUACAUCUAUCCAGCGACGAGAAGAGAGGAAGGGAGGGAGGCGUCACGUACCUGGGUUGAACUCGAGGAAGAGGAAGAGGCCGCGCCGUCGACCCCGGGCGCCGUGGCGGCGAAGGGGCCCAUGGAGCGCUCCAACUUCUCCACCCUCGGAUCUCUGUCGCUCCCUGCGGCCCACCCUCCAGCUCCGCCUCCGCCUCCGCUCCCCGGCGCCAUCGCCGAGGUGGGGGGUUGGACGGCCGUACCAGGCGCUCCACGAUGUACCUCACUCACUUACUCAUCGGAGCGCUCACCCGCAGCAACGGUAGUUCCCUUCUCCACCAUCAACCUCGCCACUCACCGGAGCGCCGCCGUCGGCGUCGGCGACCCACGCGCCCUUUUUCCAACGACAAUACGAGAUGAUCUGAGGGCUUAUUCGAAAAUGAUCCUCCAAUGCUCAGGCGCCCUUAGAUAUCCCGGCCCACACGUCAUCCGCAAACCCCUUGAUGGCCCAUAAAAUAUGGGCCCCACGUUGCAUCCCGCCCAUGUUCACUUGCAGCACGUUGGGCUGUGAAAGGGUCCAAAGUCCAAGUAUCGCCCCAGAGACGGCCCGUACACUUUGGGCCUCACAUUGCUCCUGCCCUGCGCUGACGGGCCGCAUGUCCCCGUAGUAUCGUCCCGGCCCACAAAUUAAAUGGAAUCGCUUGCUGGCCUACGCCCAUUAGUCGGCCUGACCGCAAGAGCGAUAGUCUCCUGGAUGAGAGAAUCCGCCGCCAUGGCAGCUGCUCGCCGGAGCUCCGCCGACUGGCCACGGAGCUCCUCUCCGGCGAAGAUUUGUAUCACGUAGGUUCUUCGAGUCUUCCCUUUCCAUAAUGUGCUUUGGCUCUUUCAUCUUCCUCUCUCUGUCUCACAGAUCAGACACUUGACGAGCAUGUCAAUACCUAUUGAUGAGAGAUGUUGUAUGUACUGCUGUUUAUGCUAUAGAACCUAUUGAUGUUAUACAGAUCUGAGUGCAUUUUUUUUCUUUGAUAAUGUCAGGUGUGAGCUCAUGAAACUAGGAUUGUGUUCAGUUCGUAGCAUCCUCUUCUUUCAUUCUUUGGAGUGAAUCAAUGAUCCUGUUGAAGUCACCAAUUGGAUGCUUUGUUCUCUAUGUUCUGCUUCUGUAGCUGGAUGAGUAUCAGUCACUGUAUCUGAACACAUACAAAGUGAACUCUAUGGUUUCAGUCUUUCAGAUCAGGUAUGUUCCUUCUUUGACAUGGUCAUCAAUCUGAAAGCAUGUGCAGUAGUAUGAUUCCAUGAUGGAGGAAACAAAACUUAAUCAUGUGCACGUCUUUCUUUUUCUUUUCUAAUCAAAGUGCGCGCCUGCUUUAACACCAUGGACUAUAAUAUUCACGUAAACUAAUUAUAAUCACAUCACCAAGUACGUCCAGUGCGCUUCAUGCAGCCACGGGGAAGCUGCCUUCUUCCAGGUCAGGAUUGUCGAUCAGAGCCAAACCAAGCAGUUUGUUCAGAGUUCAGAAUUACAUAGAAACUACUGAAAUCUGAAUGCUGAAAAUGAUUUUGUUGUUGCAUGCAGGCACAGCGAGGGGAAAGGAAGGCAUGACACUUAUCUUCGUGUGCUGCAACCCCAGCUGCAAUCACAGAUGGAGGGAGUGACAUGUAAAUUAAUUGUAAUUAAUGCUACUAUUAUGCUGCAUGUAAAGGCAAUAGAGCUUUGCAUUAUGCCAUGAAUUGGUAUAUGUUUACUAGUCAAAUCGAGGGAUAAGACGACAAACAAUGAGUAUGAGAUGCCAUUGAGCCCGUGACGGAGGAAACAAAACUCAAGCAUGUGUAUGCUCACCCCUUUGUAACGGCAAUAAAGCACGCAGCUGGUUUCACAUCAUGGAAUCUUGGAAGCAAACUCUAAAUUAAUCACAUCGAAAUAAACUGUAAACUAAUCACAUCGCCAGAGCCCAGGCGCCAGCUAAUCGUUGCAAUAUACUAUUGCAGCUGUUGAUCAGUGCCCUAGAAUAUGUGAGUGUAGCUAAUAGAAGUACGAAAAGGAAAACGCAAAGUUCCCUACUAAUCUGUAAGGUCUAUUAGUAGGAAUUAAGUACUCUCUCAGGAGCCUCACCAUUUGCAUUCUAACAAACCUAACGUUUUGACAAAGACCAUUGCGUUUCCAUGGUGUUACUAGAACAAUUGCUUCAGCGCUAGUGUGCAGGAAAUCAAUUACCAUUUAGUGAUGAUUGGGGAUAUGAAUAAGAAAAGGAGUAGCCAUAGCUACCUAGACGGUUCAUGAAUAUACACAAAUUUUUUUUUUAGAAUUAGGGCGAUAGCGCCCCCAUUUCUCUUACUAGAAAUGAUAGUCAUUACAACAAGUCUUGAGAAGUAAAAAAAAAAAGGAGAACUAAAGAUAAACCUGACCACUGAGUGGGACAGGAACAAAAGACCAUCAGCCUAACCAUUACAGGCCUAACCCAGAUGACUAUCCUAGAUACAGAGUACUAGGGAAUAAACAGACAUUCCAAGGAGUAUCAAACAAGAUCAAACUGCCAGGGAGAGACUAAGCCGGUCCAAUUCUUCUGAUGAAUAUACACAAAAUGUUGGGUUGUGGAGCAUAGACAUGUGGACAAUAACUUAAAAUUUUGUCAGGGAUAGUACCAUGGGAAAGAUAAAAGAAAAGAAGAGUGGUUCAGCAGUUGUCUAGCUAGUCUGAAUGUUCAGCUAUACAAUAUAUGUAAGGCCUUACCACCUUUCCUAAAUCACUCCCUAGCCUCCUGCAGUACUGUUGCUUUGUUCCACUGUGUCGCAUUCUUACACUGCAUUUCUACCGGCUGUGGGUAAGCUCAAUACAUAUAGCUGAAUUUACUUCCUUUAUUUCCUUAAGUUAAUCCGUAAAUGCUCAUCUUGACUGCAGGGCACGGAUUUUCAACAGGAUCAGUUGCGUCCAUUUCUGUCUGCUUUCUGAUUGAUUGAGAUGAGAUCUACUAGGAAGGAAAAAUCUGCUUCAUCUGAGUAAUCCCAUAUAUACUGCUCUUCUUGAAGCACUCCUUGAUCGGUGAAUGUCAACACAUGAACCAGUAUUUCUGGUACUCUCCCGUUGAUUCUUCUAGUUAACCUUCUGAAUCAUUUCAGUUGUACAUAUAUAAUACACACUUCACUUUUCUUCUGUCCCCUUUUUCCAGUUGUAGCAGUGCAGUCUGCGGUUCUCUCUUGAUGACUGGCUCAUAAUGUUCUGUAAUCUAUUCUAUACUCUGGCUUAUUCAAUCAGAUUCCUUUGGUCUUGAUUAAUCUCAGUUUAUUGAGAUCUUAAGUACAAGAUGGGACCGAGCAACCUGUUAACCUGUGCAAGAUGGUUGCUACUAUACUACUGAUCCUUGUUAUGUACCAUAUGUUAUUUUUGUGCUGAAUGAUCGCUCUGUAAGGUAAGAUUUGCAUCCCGGCGAAAACGAAAAAAGAUUUGCAUGUGUACUUCAAGUUUCGAAUGCAUCAUUCUGUGAUCUUUUUUUGGGAUGCAGCUAGUAGAGUAGUAGGUAGGGAGGUGUAUCCGCCAUGCAACUUUUAGGUUUUCAUGUGUGAAGCUACCUAAAUAAUAUAGACCCUGUUUGGAUGCUUGGGCUGUGGUUACAUAACCAUAAAUGUCAAUUUUGCUAGCCAUUAGACUCAACAUGCACGGUACACCGAAUUAAGUGGAAACUCUUAUACAAAGAAUAGAUGGAUAAUAUAUUUACUAAACUUCAUCUUGCAUUCAUAUUUUGUCAGCCUUAUCUAACUUUUAAACUAUGUUAACACAAGUUUGGUUACAUGUCAGGCUGCAUUUUUUACAUUGAUCAAUUAUAUAUGGUGGAUUACCCCUUUUGAGUUUGUCGGAUGGCAACAAUAGUAGACACAUUGGUUGGAUCAUGCAUCAAUAAGUUGCAAGCGAUCAUUACAGACAAGACAAUACUCAUUUUAGGGGUAAAAGAUGAGCUUGAAGAACUGCAACGAAGAACAAACGUCAUAAGAUCUUCUCUUCAGGAUGCUGAGGCAAGGAGGAUGGAAGAUUUAGUAGUUGAAAAAUGGCUUGACCAGCUAAGAGAUGUUAUGUAUGAUGUUGAUGAUAUUAUUGAUUUGGCUAGAUUUAAAGGAAGUGUCCUACUGCCUGACUAUCCUAUGUCAUCGUCAAGGAAAUCAACUGCUUGCAGUGGCCUUUCACUUUCAUCCUGCUUUUCUAAUAUUCGUAUACGUCAUGAAGUUGCUGUAAAAAUUAGAAGCCUGAACAAAAAGAUCGAUAACAUUUCAAAGGAUGAGGUAUUUUUAAAACUCAACCGCAGACAUCAUAAUGAAAGUGGUUCAGCAUGGACACCAAUAGAAAGCUCCAGCCUAGUUGAACCCAACCUUGUGGGCAAGGAGGUCAUACGUGCUUGCAGAGAAGUGGUGGAUUUGGUGCUUGCACGCAAGAAAAAGAAUGUUUACAAGCUUGCUAUUGUUGGAACAGGAGGAGUUGGUAAGACAACACUAGCUCAGAAAAUAUUCAAUGAUAAAAAAUUAGAAGGGAGAUUUGACCAUCAUGCAUGGGCUUGUGUUUCCAAGGAGUAUUCUAGGGAUUCUCUUUUGAGACAAGUUCUUCGUAAUAUGGGAAUUCGAUAUGAGCAAGAUGAAUCAGUUCCAGAGCUCCAAAGAAAGAUUAAAUCACACAUUGCAAAUAAAAGUUUUUUUCUGGUGUUGGAUGAUGUGUGGAACUCUGAAGCAUGGACAGAUUUACUAAGCACUCCACUUCAUGCAGCCGCCACAGGAGUAAUUCUAAUAACUACUCGAGAUGACACUAUUGCUAGAGUAAUUGGGGUGGAGCACACUCAUAGGGUUGAUUUGAUGUCAGCUGAUGUAGGAUGGGAGCUGCUUUGGAGGAGCAUGAACAUCAACCAAGAGAAACAAGUGCAAAAUCUCAAGGACAUAGGUAUUGAGAUUGUUCGCAAAUGUGGUGGCCUUCCUCUUGCAAUCAGAGUUAUUGCUACAGUUUUAGCAAGCCAAGAACAAACAGAGAAUGAAUGGAGACGGAUAUUGGGGAAAAAUGCCUGGUCCAUGAGCAAACUUCCUCGUGAAUUAAGUGGUGCUUUAUAUCUGAGUUAUGAAGUGCUGCCGCACCAACUGAAGCAAUGUUUUCUUUAUUGUGCACUUUUCCCUGAAGAUGAAACCAUUUUGCGCGACAUUCUUACUAGGAUGUGGGUUGCUGAAGGCUUUAUAGAUGAGGAAAAAGGACAAUUACUAGAAGAUACAGCAGAGAGAUAUUAUUAUGAGCUGAUCCAUCGGAACUUGCUCCAACCAGAUGGUUUAUAUUUUGACCACUGGAGCUGUAAGAUGCAUGACCUCUUAAGGCAGCUUGCUUGUUAUUUGUCUAGAGAAGAAUGUUUUGUUGGGGACGUAGAGUCACUAGGGACUAAUACUAUGUGCAAAGUGCGGCGUAUUUCAGUUGUCACAGAGAAGGACAUGAUGGUGUUACCUAGCAUCAAUAAGGAUCAAUAUAAAGUGCGAACGUAUAGAACCUCCUAUCAGAAGGCACUGCAAGUUGAUAGUUCACUUUUCGAGAAACUUACAUAUCUUCGUGUUUUGGAUUUGACUAACUCACAUGUACAAAGAAUCCCAAAUUACAUUGAAAACAUGAUUCAUCUGCGCUUGCUUGAUCUUGAUGGGACAGACAUUUCUCAUCUACCGGAGUCCAUUGGUUCCCUGCAAAACCUUCAAAUAUUGAACUUGCAGAGGUGUAAAUCUCUGCACCGCCUUCCUUUGGCAACCACUCAGCUGUGCAAUUUGAGGCGACUUGGUCUUGCUGGUACUCCAAUAAACCAGGUUCCAAAAGGGAUAGGAAGACUGAAAUUUCUCAAUGAUUUAGAAGGAUUUCCUAUCGGUGGUGGAAAUGACAAUACCAAAAUACAAGAUGGAUGGAAUUUGGAAGAGUUGGCUUAUCUUCCACAGUUGAGGCAGCUUGGUAUGAUAAAAUUGGAGAGAGGUACUCCACGCAGCAGUACAGACCCAUUUCUACUAACAGAGAAAAAGCAUCUCAAAGUUCUGAAUCUAGACUGCACUGAACAGACAGAUGAAGCAUAUUCAGAGGAAAAUGCUAGAAACAUUGAAAAGAUCUUCGAGAAGCUAACACCUCCACACAACUUAGAAGAUCUUUUUGUUGGGAAUUUCUUUGGUUGUAGAUUCCCCACCUGGCUUGGUUGUACCCAUUUGUCUUCAGUGAAAUCUGUGAUCCUCGUAGAUUGCAAAUCUUGUGUGCAUCUUCCCCCAAUCGGACAGCUACCAAACUUGAAAUACCUAAGAAUUAAUGGAGCAAGUGCAAUCACCAAGAUUGGACCCGAAUUUGUUGGCUGCUGGGAGGGUAAUCUCAGAUCCACAGAGGCAGUUGCUUUCCCCAAGCUCGAAAUGUUGAUCUUCAAGGAGAUGCCCAACUGGGAGGAGUGGUCCUUUGUUGAAGAAGAAGAAGUGCAGGAGGAGGAAGCAGCUGCAGCAGCCAAGGAAGGGGGAGAGGAUGGAAUUGCUGCUUCGAAGCAAAAGGGGGAGGAAGCCCCGUCUCCAACUCCAAGGUCGUCGUGGCUGCUGCCUUGUUUGAAGCAGUUGCAACUUGUGGAGUGCCCCAAGCUGAGGGCUCUCCCUCCACAGCUUGGACAGCAGGCCACCAACUUGAAGAAACUCUUUAUAAGAGACACAAGAUACUUGAAGACGGUGGAAGACCUCCCGUUCCUCUCUGGUUGCCUUUUAGUUGAAAGAUGUGAAGGCCUGGAGAGGAUCUCCAACCUUCCCCAAGUAAGAGAGCUGCGUGCAGGUGGUUGCCCCAAUUUGAGGC